UUUUAAUUAUCUCUACAAGAAAAUCAUUUAUUAGAUUUGGUUUGGAAUUGCAUAUUCUGGAAGGCCCAAAAAUUUGGUAAACCAUCGGUACAUGAACAGUAUAAAAUGAUGACGAAAAGAGAAAAAAAAAAAAAAAAAAAAAAAAAAAACCCCCCGAAAGAGCAGAUGUGAUCUGAAAAAUUGUAAUGUUUAUAAAUAAAUUCUACAAUAGUUAAUAAAAAUUCAAAUUUUAAUAGUUGGAUUUUAUUCUUGUCAUUAUGAAUCAUGACUAUCACUUUGUGAGUAAUACUUCUUUGCUGAUCAUUAUGACCACCCAUAUAAAUAAAUUUGUAAAACGCUGUAAAAUUUGUUUGCAAUCGUAGCAUUAUUCUGCAAACUAUCCGUUUUAUGGGCCUCUAAACCUUACUCACCAUUCUAUGGAUACAUGGUAUGCAAUCAUGAAUAUACAAUUUGAGUAUUGUAAUCACUAUUAGAAAAGUAAUCACUAUUAGAAAACCUAACCACUAAAAGUUACUAAAAAGAAAGACCCAAAUUGCCUUUAAUUAAAACAAGCAAAUGGCUCUCACUCUUUCUUUUAAACCCCCAUGGUCCUAGUCUCCCAAAUGCUCCUUUGCUUUCCCUACUCCUCAAAGGCCUAAACCAAAAGAAAUGAGUUAUUAGAGAACAUGGUCUCUUUGAUCUCUCCCUCUCUAUCAAUACUUGUGUUCUCUCUAAGUGUUCAUACAUAUGAAUCAACCAAACCAAACAUGGUACAUCUUAUCCAUUCUCUUCUUCUUCUUCUUCUUCCUACUAUCUUUCGCGCAAACCGCGCACCGUAACGCCUCAUUCGAUUCCUUGGACUCCGUCAUUCGCGAUCACGCAUUCGAAACAAUACUCACACGCCGGUCUGGCCAACUCUAUCAAGUCCCUCUCCCUUCAAACCUCUCUGGUAUCGAAGCUUCGACCGUGAGGCUCCGCGGCAGUUAUCUUUGGAGCUCCGGAGCGAAUUCUACCUCAUUCCACAUCCCACCGAGGACAAGUGCCGUUCCUUUCGCAAAGCGACUCGUCCUCGUAUUCGAAAACUUUGGCAACUUCUCCGCCUCCUACUUCAGUGUGCCUCUCAAUCACACCCUCGCCACUCUGGUUCUCGGCUUACUCGCCUAUGACGCAUCGAAUUUGACCUCUGGUGCCACUACCGAGCUUAAGUUUGAAGUUCUUGGAGAUUCGAUAUCCAUAACUUUCCACGAAUUCAAACUACCAGAGAGGAUGAAUAACGUGACAGCCAAGUGCGCGAGUUUUGGACCAAACAGGUCAGUGCGAAUCCAUGAUUUGGCGUCGGAGAACACGUGCACGGCUACGAGCACAGGCCAUUUCGCGAUCGUCGUGUCGUCGGACAUUCGACGGCCGGAGGGGAGAGAGAGGGGAGGGGUGGUUUUGGUGAUUGCUUGUGGAGUGGGUGCAGUUGGGUUGGUUUUGGUGGGGUUAGUAGGGAUAUUGGGGUUAGUUAAGUUGAGAAGGGAUAAGAAAAGGGAGAGAGAAAUAGAAGAAGGUGGGGAGGGCUUAGGUGUGGUUUGGGUAAGGAGAAGCAAAAUGCCUUGUGCAACAAUGGUUAGGACUCAAGCAAUCAUUGAGGAUAGUAUUAGUGUAUCCACCACAUUGAGAAACCCAUAUGGUUGAGAUGGUUAAUAUUGAGGGUUUAAAAAGAACUAAUUAAUGUGUAACAUAUAAUGUUGGAGUUGAUUGGGUGGGAAUUGGAACAAUGUCCAAGUACUUAAUAAAGUACCACUCAAACUGAUGUGUGUGCAAAUGUUUUCUAAUCUAUUUCUUGUUUUAGUGAUUGAUGUUGACAAUCUAUGCAGCUUUUUUACUCAUAGAGCAGUGUAUCACCAAUUAAACACUAAAUUAAAAAAAAAAGUCUUUCGAACAAGCACUAAUAGCUUUUUCAUUAAAGUCGCGGGUUAACUAGUUUCCACUCGAACAGAAGCUCAAAUUUAAAUUGAAACUUUUGCUAUGACACCCUGUAGAACGCAGCGGAAGUAUUCGUUCGUACCUUUUGCGGAAGCGAUUCGCGCAACAAUGCGAUAAGCCCGGAUCGUUUAGAUUGAUUCACGUGUCCUCGGAUCGUCCUUGAAUGUCUUCUCACGCUCCAAACUCGCGGUGGAUCGAACUACAAACGAGCGCGAUCGCAAAUCCACCGUGCAAGUCCCUCUAGAAUAAUAGGUCAAUGGAGGAUGUGGUUUCUCUCUAUUAUUUUCUUAUUCUCUCUCUUUUUCGGUUCUUUUAUUUUUGUAUAUCGUUUCAUGUGGGAUCACCCGUCUAUUUAUAAGGAAUUCCAAAAUCCUAAUAGCGUUAGAGAUAAGGCCAAAUCGGUUAUUAUUUGUUAUCCUAAUAUGAUUAGAUUUAUCUCUAAUUAGCUUUCCAAUUUGAAAGCGAGAUUAAUCCUAAUCCAAUUAGAUAACAUAAUAUCCGUCGGAUCGAACCCGCUUAUGGGCGUACCCGAUUCGAUUUAACCGAAUGCCAACACACCCAAAAGACCAUUUGAGCACCUAAUCAGAAUAAAAGCUCCAGAAAGCCAAACUUAAGAACACAGAAACCAUACUCAAGGAAAUCAAUAAAAAGGCUCAAUUUUAUUGUCAAAUCAACAGUUAAUUAUAAUCAAUAAAUCACUAUAUAAGAGAAGGAUUUUAACUGAUUUACAUAUGCAAUUCAAGACUCCACAUAAAUUGAUCAACACAUCAACAAUAUAUAAAACUACGCUCAUAAGAGACCCAAAGCAUUUCUCAAUAUUAAUAUAUCAUUUUUCUUUGGUGAGAGACAUGCGACCAUGUUUCAAAGUGAGAAUAUACGUAGGCAAAUUUAUGAUUUGCAAGAGAGUUAAUUAAAUUUGAGGGUAUAUGAAAUACAUAUAACUCGUUAUAUCUGUUAGCCAUUUGUUAGCAAAUUAACCGUUUCGCAGACACAACCUGCACCUUUUCAUGUAGUCCUUUUAGUCCGAGACGAGUUUGUACAGUUUCCGCCAAUAGAUUGAGCAAUGUGAAACCCCUGUACAAAGUUCAUCUGCCGCACCGUUGGCGGCGAAUCGUGCAUUCAACUGAGUCGCAAUUGCAGAGGCUAAGUAAUUCUACUUAAAUGGAAAAUGUCUACAUGCCCAGCGUAGGAAACAACCAUGACUAUGAUCACUACAAGGAAUGUACAAUGUCAAUGGAUUUACAGUUACAACAUACGGAAAACGACAGGAAGAGGAUGUCGCGACAUGAUGCAAACCAGAAGAGAAAGAUGGAUCGCGAAAAGGAAACAAGAGAAUGGAGCCAAACCCUUUGCUGGAUAAUUUUGAUACUUGAAUCUACACUUCAUCGUUUUGUUUUGUUCAAAAUCCUAGUUUUGAUGCCUCCUGCAGCAACUAAUAGAGCAGCAUUAAUAAUAUAGUUAACAACUCGAAGAAGCAGAGCAGAAGCACAAGCCUUGGUCUCACACAAAGUCAGAUAGUUUGCACCCCACUGAUUAUGAUUCAAGAGCAACUUGAUUAAGCUUCUACAAUAUCUAGAAUUAACUAUUCCUAUAUUUGCGAAAGUUGUCAAGAUAAUUUGAUUAGAUAGAAUAUGGCAGGGAGGUUGAUCAAGUCAUAUAAAGAUUUGGAAACUAAAAAUCAAAAUCUCCACUAGACCAGGGUAGAUUGAACAAGUUUUAGUACUAGGUUACGUGCGGUUGCCUAAAUUUUGCAUCUCUGCGGACCAAACUACAAACUAGGCCUUAAUAUCUCUUCAUUCUUUUACCGAUGUUAAUCAAAAGAAACCCAUGGCCUCCAAAUGUUAUGUGGCCUUAUGACCGUCUCUGGUACCAUAUAUCGAAAAAAAUACGAUUUGAUAGAAAGUUUUAACACCCCAUGGUUGAAUGAAUUCUAAUGUAAUGCAGUAGCAUCUAAUCUGCAACCAAAGCAAUGUUAGCAAUCCUACAUGUACCUUCAAUUUGUUCGAACUGAACUUCUUUCACUGUAUCCGCAGCAGGAUGGUAUUGAAAUCUGCCGUAUAGAAAGUAAACAUCAAUUCACUGGUGCCAACCUUUUAAAAUUAGCAAGAGAAAUAUGUUUAGAAUUAACCAGCUAUCAAAUUUGAUUUGAUGUGUAUACUAACAACCGAGUUGUUAGUAUGAUCAGAAAAGAAAAAUUAAUGAACUGUUACAGCAUUUGAUUUUUGCUUUCCUUAGUUAUAGUUCCCACAAAAAUAAAAAGCUAGAAAAAUAAGACCGAUAUUAGCGCCAUGCUACUAUUCAAAAAAUAAUAUCCAGGGUCAUGGAGUUAGCCAAAAAUAUGUGCAUCUUCAAAUUCCGAAAACGGUUACAUGAAAAUUCAGUGUUUCCGUAUUUACCUGUUCGAGAAAACAACUCCGAUUUCAUACGUAGAUUUGCCCUUGGUGGCCUCAACUAGAACAGUUACAAUCUCUGUUUUCCUGGUGCUGGCCAUAAGGCAGUCGUACUCCGUCGGAACAAUGAACGCGAAAAAGUUAUCAUUCAGCUUGCUCAAGCACAUCCUAUCAACCGCCGCGAGUGCUAUUCUCCUCUUUAGCACAUUUGCAUCUGGAUCGAUGAGAUGUAUGGCGUGAUCUGUGAUCAGCAACAUACGAGUCUUGAUCUUUCCCGAUCCAGUGAACUUCAGAACCUUGUCGGCAAGUUUGGUCACCUGCAGGACGAAAAACAGCCUCAACAUGAGUUGGCAUAGUUUGCUAUUUAAUCUGUAAAGAGUGAUUGAAGUGACCAAAUCAUCAAAACAGCACCCCAAAAAAAAAAAAAAAAAAAAGGGGGGGGGGCAAUUGCCUAUAUACUCCUGAAAAGUUUACGGUUUUUUUAUUUACCCCUCUUAGAAAGCUAAUAUUGAAAAUACCCUUCUUAUGUUCCAAGUCUUUCUAAUAUACCCCUGGAGUUAAGUUCCGUUAGUGAGCUGCCGUUAUCUCUGAAAAAUUAUCAUUUUGCCCAUUCCAAUAUACCCUUAUACCGUAACUAACUUUUCUUAUAUACCAUUCAUAUGGCAAAUACUUUUCUUAUUUGCCCUUCAAAUAUCAAUUAAUUAAUUAAGCACGUCGGGAGCGAACAGAUGAACGGAUGAGAUCGAUCGCAGCUAAACCAACCUUGGUGGCUGGAGGCAUAGUUAGUUAAUUCGGAUUCGGCAAAAAUUCGGUACAGAUAUAAUUCGGAUAAAAUUCGUCUUUUAAUUUUUAAAUUCGAUGAAAAAUACGGCUAAAAUAACGGAUUCGGCAUUAUUCGGAUACGUGAUUUAUACAGGUAUUAUACGUUCACCAAUUAAAAAUUCGGGAUCAAAUUCGGCUAUAUAAUAAAUAUAUAUAAUAAUAUAUAUAUAUAUUAUUAUUAUAAUUUUAUAUAUAGAUUAAAUAUAUUUAAAAUUAUAAUAAACAUAUAUUUAAUAUAUAAGAGUUAUAUAUUUAAAAUAUUAAUAAAUAAUUAAAAUUUAUAAAUAAAAUAUUAUAUUAUAAUAUUUCUAUAUAUAAAUAAAAUACUAUAUGAUAUAUUAUUUAUAAAAUAAAAUUUAUAUAUAUAUAUAUAUAUAUACGCUGGGGCUACUAUACUCAUAUGAGUAUAGAGCUCUUUGUACUCAUAAGUUUUCGACCGUUCAGAUGAAAAAAUGUGUGGUUAGGAUGAAGUGAUUAUGGUUAGGUUGAUAGUGGGCCCCCUAGGGUUGAGUGGGUGGUUGGUUGAAUAGUAUAAUCAACGGGUGAAAAUGAUUAAAGGGUAGAUCUCGGCCAAAAAUUUAUAAGUAAAUUAGGCUCUAUACUCAUAAGAGUAUAUAUAUAUAUAUAUAUAUAUAUAUAUAUAUAUAUAUAAUGAGAGGGAGGUCCACCCUCUCAUCCGGACAGCGCACACCCACUGCUCCCCUCCGCGCGCAACACCGCGCCAUUUCUCCUCUCCGUGCGCAACACCGCGUCCAUUGAUGCAAAGCCCCUAAAAAUCCCAACUUUGACACAAAAAACACGAGUUAACAACUAAAGAAGAGAAUAGAAGGGACAAAAAUUUCGUGGGCAUCCGUGCCCAAACAAUUUGUUUGGGCACGGAUGCGGAUGGGCGCCGCGUGGUGUGCGGCGCCCAUCACGACCCUUCGAAAAAAAAAAAUAAAAAUCGGGGGCCUCCGGUUUUUAGAAAAAUAGAGAGAAAGGGGAAGGGGCGGUGGUGAUGGGCGUCGCACACCAUGUGGCGCCCAUCCGCAUCCGUGCCCAAACAAAUUGUUUGGGCACGGAUGCCCACGAAAUUUUUGUCCGAAUAGAAGUGCCCAAAUCCUCAAAUUGGUUGUGAACAACUAAACCCAAACACCAAAAAAACGAACGCCCAUUAAUGCAAGACCCCUAAAAAUUCAAACUUUGACACAAAGAACACAAGUUAACAACUAAAACAAAGAAUAGAAGGACCCAAAUCCUCAAAUUGGUUGUGAACAACUAAAUCCAAACACCAAAUGAACGAACACCCAUUAAUGCAAAACCCCUAAAAAUCCAAACUUUGACAGAGCAUAGCAAAGGGAAAGGUUGGGUUCCUUGGAAACAACUAUGGGAGGAGCAUGAGAACGUCGCCAACGGCCUCGGGCGGAUGGCACGCAGACGGCCUCGGGCGAGACGGGAUCGUCGCUGCGGCCCUCUUGCUCCCGGCGCUGGCCAAGACGGCAGAGGAGGAGGACGAAGAUGACGAGAGUGGCGGAGGAGGAGGACGACAAGAGCAGUGAGAGGGGUGGUACAUGUUGGAGAUGGAGGUGUGGGAAGUGGUGGUGGUCUGGGAGGAGAUGAGGCGAGGUGGAGUUAGAUGAGCCAGUGCUGAGGUUAGCGGUGGUGGUGAGCGGCUGGCGAAGUUGGGAGAGAAGGAGAGGAUAACUUAAGGGAUUAGGAUAAUAAGGUAGGGGCAAAAUAGGUAUUUUAGAUAGGUUUUAACUCUAGUAUACAUUUAAUCCAUGUUUAACCAGAGUUAAACUAACAGGGGAUAACCGCGGGGAUAUUUUGGAAUAACGGUGGAAUAUAUGAGAGGCAUUUUAGAAAAAAAAAAAAGAAGUAGGGGUAGAUCGGAUAUUUUCAGACGCAUGAGGGGUAUAUAGGUAAUUAUCCCAAAAAAAAAAGUACAGGUGCCAAACCAUAAUUCAGAGAUCAUUGUGAGGUGAACUUUCUCACAGGCAUGGCUUAAUUUGGGCUUAGCUAAUUUGACACUUUCAUAAAUUCAUAUGGCUAUUAUUUGUUAACAUGAAUGUAGAGAUUGUUACAAAAUUUAAAGUUCAAUAGAUAAUUUGACAAUACAUAAAAGUACAAUUCAAAAGACAUCUGUAAAGUGAAGUUUAACCUACUUUAGAUGUAAAACAUCUAAAUAAUACAAUCAAUUGGUACCAAAUAAUCUAAUCUAAUAUUGCGCGGUCAAAGUUUAUUUUAGAACUUAAAAUUUAAAUUGUGCGAUCCCCCCAAAGUGGGGAUAUUGCAUAUUUAUUUUUAGGACUUUAAAACAUCUUAUAUAUACCCUUACAAACUUUACUAUUAUGACUGUUUUGUCCUUGUCAUGAUUGGUAAAAGUAACCAACUCGGAUGGAGAGAUCAAGCCCCAUCACUUUUUCUUAGUAAAUCAAGAUCGUUUGAUUUGCUUUGGCUUCGUUUGAAUGUCUUCAAUUGCUAAUUUUAUGAGAGCAAUGAAGCAAGAAAAUAAUGAGCUAUUCAAAAAAUACAAUCAAUUCACUUAAAAUGUAUAAAUAUUGUGCCCACGGUCUCGAUUGUAAUUUGGUCCACAAUCAGUCCAACUGGUUUUUUGCCAUUUCUAAUAUGACUCGACCCAAUCCAACCUCCCGUCAUUUCGAACAUGACUUGAGCCAAUCUGGCCUCCCUCCACGGUGCAGGAUACUAACUCCUUUAAGCCAACAAUAAGGAUAAAAUAAUUUUUUAAGUAAAAUACGAUACUUUGGUACUUUAUUUACAAAUUUUUGAAAAAACUUUAAAUAUCAUUCCUGUGGUUUCGCACUCUUUCUUUUUUAUUUUAGUACAUUGUGGUUUAAAGUAUAUCAAUUUAGUAUCUCGCAGUUUCAUUUUUCUCUUUUUAUUAUUAAUUUCACUAAUUUUUUUUGUUAAAUCAGUAUCAAAGUUAAAGCUAAAAGUUACUAAAGUGAACAUUCAAUAAAACUAGAUGGAUAUCUGAAGUUUUUUUUUGUAUAUAACUAAACGAAAUAUUAACGAAGAGGAUGAUGAAAGGAGAAAAAUAAAACCCCAGGUACUAAAUUGAUACAAUUUAAAAAUACUAAAGUGAAAAAGUUCGAAACCACCAUUCACCCUAAAUUUUUAAAGUUUGAAGCGACAACUAUUCAAUAUUCAAACUUUCACCUUUUUUCGAUAAAAUGCGGGAGAGGGAGGGAUUGGAUUCGACGUCGAGGUAAUCUCCCCCGCGAUCGCGCCGAAUCGAAGCUCUCCGCCGCGCCUUCACCCCCAUGAACGGCUUCGGAGCCGCGCUCGCCUCCUCUCCCUCCCCUCUUCGACCGUUCUCGCCAUUAAUUAGGGUUUGCUUCGAUCGCACCUCUCCUUCUUCUUCUUCUUCUUCCUGGAACUGUUGUUGUUGCUGCUGCUGCUGCUGCUGCUGCUGCUGUGAUUGGGGUCUCCACCGUGGGACGAGGCGAUCCAUGGCGAAGGCGAAGCCGUGGAAGCGCUUCUGCGGCGGGGGAAGGAGAAGCGCUUCGCUCUGAAGCAGUUGCGUGAGAGCGCACCACUCUCUCUCUCUCUCUCUCUCUCUCUCUUCGCUUGGGCUAAAAGAAAAGAAAUGGUGGUGGCAGCGUCAGUGGGUGGAGCACCGGAAACAUAGAAAUUGUUGCAAACAACCGGUGUAUCCGUACUAUCCUGCACCAUAAUUACGAGUUGAUGACUUAAAAUUAAUAAAAAUAAAAAUAUGGGCAAACUUCAAAUACCAUCCAUGUGAUUUCUCACUUUCUCACUUUAGUAUCCUGUAAUUUAAAGUGUAUCAAAUUAGUACUGUAGUUUCAUUUUUCUUUUUCGUCAGCUCCUACGUUAAUAUUUCGUUAAAUUAUACAUAAAAAAAUUCAGAUAUCCCACUUAAGUUUAUCGAAUAUUCACUUUAGUACCCUUUAGUUUUAACUUUGUCAUUGAUUUAACGAAAAAAAAAAAUAGCGGAAUGGAUAAUGAAAGGAGAAAAAUAAAACCAUAGGGUACUAAAUUGAUAAUAAAAGAAAAAAAUAAAACCACAAGCACUAAAUUGAUACACUUUAAAUUACUAGGUACUAAAAUGAAAAAGUACGAAACUACAAAAAUGAUAUUUAAAGUUUUUUCUAAAAAUAUUAUUACUCCGAUAAAUAGGCUUUCCAAGUAUAAAAUGCCUAUACAUAAAAAUUAUAUAAGUUUUGGAAAGCCAUUAGUCAAUCAUUUAAGACUUUAAAUUGGAGUUGUAGCCUCUAAAAUCACAUAUUUUAAUGAAUUAGAAGGCCUUCUAAAAUUCCAAAAUAAUUGCAAAUUUUAUUUUAUUUUAUUUUUGAUACUUUGAAAAGACCAUAAAAAUUGAGAAUUUUUAUAGAAGAAGCAAACUCAACACAACAUUAUGUUAUAAUAUUAGAGGAUAGAAAAUUAAAAGUGAUUUUAAAAUUUAAGGUUUUAAUAUAGUAUAGUUGGAUUUUCAUGUAGCUAGAAAUGCAGCAAUUAUAGUGGCAUGCAUCUUAUUAUGUUAGAUGUAGUAAAGUGUUGCAACUGUAAAUAAUUUAUUUAGUUGUAUGCGGUCGAGAGCUGUAUUUUUUAGGAUUUUAUCAUUUUAUAUAUGAAAAAUAUUUUUUGUUUAAAAAAUAAUUAGAGAUAUAAGCUUUUUUUUCAUCUAAAGCUACUUUUUCCUACUGCUACAGUUGGAGCCAGUGCCAAUUUAGAUACAGUUCCAAACUUUGCAGUUAAAUUUGCUCAUGCAGUUUCAACUAUAAUAAUUAAAUUCAAAUAUAUCAAACUAAAUAUCAAGCUUGGUUCUGUGAGUUGUUAUAACUAUUAUAUAACUAUAAUUGUAUUCAACCAAAUAGUCCAGUAAGAACUAGUUAUUACAGGGAUCGGCACCGUUUGGCAAGGGAAUAGGAAUAGGGAUAACCCCUUAUCCCCCUUUGUACCCAAACGCUAAUUUUUUACCUGAAAAUAGUAGUUCUCGGUUACCUAUAAUAAUCGGGUAUAACUAACUAUUCCCACCAACACCUUUAUUUUCUAUAUAAAAUUAUUCAUUAUUUUUUUUUCCAUAUUAUCUAUUCAAACGCUAUUUUUUUAUCCCCAUACUUAUAUAUAUUCUUGUAAUAGCUAAUUCUUAUUUAUACUCGAACCAAACGCUACUUUAAAAUAUUAGAGGAGGUGCUUUUAUACGUUACCAUCGCAAGUUUGGUCUAAUUGGCUUUGGAAAUUGAUUUUUUUGAACGAGCUUCCAUAAUGGAAAUUUAAAGGCGAGGUGCACAGUGGACCAGUGCACCGGGUGUAGGCAGCGAUUCUGGGCCAGUACGAGGGAACACACUGUUUGAAGGGAACCUUUCCGUAAUGGCAGACACACGUGGUUGUUGGCGACUUGGCGUCCGAUUGAAUGAUUACUCGGAGGACAAAUCCAUUUAAACAACUGUUUGGUAAAUUUACAUAAAAAAAAUUCAUUAGUUGAGCAUUUUUAUAUAUAAAUGAGCCAUAUUUUUAAUUUUACAGAUUAAUUAUAGAUUUUCAUAAACUCUCUCCUUUCUUUUUUCUCUCUCUCUCUCUCUCUUUCAAUGUUUCUUUAUUUCUUUCUCAUCCCGCUUCAUCUCUAUUUCUUUUUUUUCAUCCCAUGUCAAUGUCAUGCUCGCCUCUUCUAUCUGACUCACACUUCUGCCAAUAUAUGCUUGCGACGAAGUGAGAUCGAUAUGACAUAUAUCACAAAGAUAUGAUUGGGGCGGAGUGCGUGGCAGUGAACGACAAUGACGACGAAAGUGCCGCAUGAUGAGGACAACGAAGAGGAAGAGCGCAUCAGGGCGAAAGAUGGUUGCUGCGGUAGAAGGCUAGGGAGGGUGCGCUAUAGCGAAAAAACAUACAGAGGAUAGAAGGAAAAAAAAAAAAAAUAUUAUUUUUCUUCUCUUGAUAAGGUAAUCACACACCGCGGCUACUAUAGAAAAGAUCAAGGAGAAAAGAAAGAAAGAAAAAAGUUAUUUUGUUUACGAUGAAGUUGUACUAUUUAAAAUUAUUCUGAGACUAAAUUGUACUAUAAAAAAUUAUACUAUAAAAAAUAAAAGUUGUACCGUUAAUGGCUUAACGCUAAACUAUACUCUUUAAGACUUAAAUUGUAUUGCUUGAGAAGUUACAAUUUAGUUUUAAAUAGUACAACUUAGUCUUAAAUAGUGUUACUUUUAUUUUAUGUGAUAUAGCUUAGUCUUAAAUAAUUUUAAAUAGUGUAACUUCGUUUUAAAUAGUGCAAUUUAUUAUUAUUCUUCUUCUUUCUUUCCUACUUCUUUAUUUUUUUUUAUUUUAAUGAUGGCCAUGACACAUGAUUAUCUUACCAAUAGAAAAAAUAUUUUUUUAAUUCUUUUCUUUUUUUUUUCUUUUACCCUUUGCAUUCUUUUUCACUAUCGCGUCUCCUCUCUCUCCCUCUGCCCUAUCGCUAGUUGUUGUUGCCCCUGCACGCUUUUUCUUCCCAUCCUUUUCAAUUCUUGUAAUAUUCUUGUUACUGUCAUCGUCCACGGCUAUGCCAUCUACAGCCACACCUCCGCAAUCUAUGCCAUAUUCGAACCUGCAUUGCCGCCAUCGGCGUCGAAGGAGGUGUAAAUGAGAUAGGAGAGAAGAGCACGGUGUCGAUGGACACAGUGGAGAAAGGAGAGGAGGGAUGGGAAGUAGGAGAAGAAAGAGUGGAAGAAAUGCUGACGGAGAGGAAAGGGAAGAAGGAGAAGAAAAACGAACGAGAGAGAAAGAAGAGAGAAAGGUCAAUACAAAUAUUUUAGUCUUUGUCAGAAAUAAAGACCUAAUCUAUAAAAUCUUAAAAAAUAGGCUAUUUCUGUAAAAACACAAAACUAAUGAACUUUUUAUGCAAAUUGACCUAACUAUUUUGAUUUACUGAAUAUUUUACUUAAGUAAAUUACAAUUUUGGUUCUCAAACUAUAAGGCGCUUUGAUACUUUGAUCAUUAAACUUUAAUUUUUUAUAAUUUUUAGCUCAUAUUUUCUUAAUUGUUUCAAUGAAAUCUCACAAUUUAAUUUAAUCCGCUAAUAUUAAUUAAUAAAUUAUUGAAAAAAAUGACAUGAAAGUAUAAUGAUUGAUAAUGCUACCGCGUAUGUUAUAUCACUUCUGCAUCAAUAUUUAGUUAAUAUUUUGCCAACAAAAUUGAGUUGUAAAAUUUUAUUUCGAUAAUUUAUAAUUCAAACUAUAUUAUAAUAAAUUAAAAUUUGAAAAUCAAAAUGUCAGGCGCUUUAUAUUUUGAGCACCAAAAGUAUAAUUCAGCUUUUUUUGUUUUUUAUUUCUUAUUUUAGACUUUACUGCCAACUUAACUCUUUCCAGGUAGUAGUGGUGGAUCCAGCUAAUAUUUAGGCACUAAUACUUCUAUAACUGAUCUGAUUAGUUCCAAUUAAGAAUGUAUAAAUUCAAAAUUGGGUUACUUGGAAACUUCGAAUUGAUUGAUUAACACAUUUAACUACAUGAACUUGAUCCUGCCGAAUUUAUAAAUCUAUUGAUUCUCAAUCCAUUUUGACCCAUUAAACUGUUGACUCAAUCCGGCGUGUUAACCUAGUCGAUCGACCCGACCCGAUCCGACCCAAUCGUUCUAACCCAAAACAAAUAGGAUCAAAGCCGUAACUAUUCUGAACAUUUUUCAACCCGAAAUCACUACAACAGAAUUAGGUUAUAGGGACACAUAUUUGGGACACUUUUGAGUAAGUGUCCCAUUUAUUCUAAAACUUAAAAAAACAUCUACUAAUGCCUAAAUAUAAAGUCCAAUCCAACCAAAAAUAAAAGAUUACUCUACUUAACCCACCACACCCAGUCCAUUUGGCCCGAUUACAAACAAAAAAGAAAAAAAAAAGAAAAAUCAAUUACCAUCUUUUCUUCUCUCUUUACUCAAUCUACUGAAAUUCUAGACGAAGAGCCUUUUCUGUCGUCCUCUUCCGCCACCGCAGCCAACGAGAUCUAGUUUCAGCGGUUGCUAAAUGCUUAAAUGAGUGUAGGUAAAUUAGCAACACUUUUUUAGGUUAUAACGACACUCUUUAACUGUCACUAUAUACCUAGCGACCCCACAUAUAGCAACACUUUUUAAAAGUGUCGGUAAUUUUAGUUACAAGCACUUUUUUAACAUGUACCUAUAUUUAAAAGUGUCGCUAUAGACCGUUUUUGUUGUAGUGAAUCUUUAGCCUUAAAUCAUUAUGAUUAAAAGAGAAUGAUCCAAAACAGGGGCUAAACAUAAAUUCAUAACAAGAUUAUACAUGCUCGCGAAUUUACCAACAAAUAUAGGACUUAUUUGUAUAAAAAAUUCACGGGUUUUGCAGUUUUUACAAAAAUGGCCUAAAUACGGAGAAGAAUAAAUCACAUUUUUGGUCCUUAACUAUACACGUAAUACUUUAGGCCUCAAGCUUUAAUUUUUUAUGAUUUAUGAAUUGAAUUUUUUAAAUUGUUGCAAUCAAAUAUCACAACUCAAUGUUGUAAGUGGCCGCGCGAUGUAUAAAUAAUUUAGAAGUAUUGUGAUUGAUAAUGCAGUAAUAAUCAAAAUAUUAUAUUAUUUUUGUAUCAAUGAUAUUUAUUAAUAUUUUACUAACAGUCUCUAGUGCAAGUUGCAAAGAAUUUGGUAGUUGUGUUAAAUAUAAAAAAGUUUAAACACCGUUCUCAGCAGCUUAAGCUUUUAGAGUACAACGGUUGUUUUACAUAGUAUCAGAACAGGAGGUCCUGAGUUCGAGUCACGUCAAGCUCCUAGCAUAUUAAUUUCCUCCUAUUUAAUUCAAGCCCACGUCAUGGACCGACUAAAAAAUCUCGAGCCCAGACGUGAGGGGAGUGUUAAAUAUAAAAAUGUUUAAACACCAUUCUCUAACAGUUUAAGCUUUUAGAGUACAACGGUUGUUUUACAGGUUGAUAUCCGAGGGCCCAAAUUCGAAUCUUCAUUGAUUCACAUUUUCAGCUAAGUUUAUUUCAAAAAAAAAAAAAAUAAACGAAACGGGUAGCAUGCUAUUUUUACUAACUAAAAUAAGUCGUUGGACUUACUUGUAGUAAUUCAGAAAGUUCAAGUCAUAAAUUCUUAAAAAAUUAAUGUUUGAAUCUAAAGUAUCACGCGCCUUAUAAUUUGAGGCCAAAAGUGUUAUUUACCUAUAUAGAUAACCAAAUAAUCUAAAUUUAAUUUUUUAAUUUUAAUAAAAUUACACUUUUAGUGGUUAGAUACAUUUUAAAAUGAUUGAAAAUUCAACAUUUUCUGCCAAAAAGAAAAGAAAAGAAAAGUAUUGGUUACUGUACGUCGCUCGAGUCAAAUUUAAUGGGAUUUGGCCAAAAUUUUGACUAAACAAAACGAUUACAUAUACAAAUUGGUCACUUGCCCCGUCAACGUCAAGGUAUAUUAGUUUUCUUUUGUAACCUGCAUAUUUAUCGUUUAAUCACGAUCGUCCAUCAACGAAAUAAUUUAGAUGGUAAAAUGUAUGAUACCCCCCCAUCUAUAUUACGCUCUGAAAUAGGUUCAUGAACUAUUUUUAUAGGUUCCCCAUCUAUAUUACGCUCUGAAAUAGGUUCCUAAACUUCUAAACUAAACGUAUCGAGGUACUAAGAAGAAACUUUUUCUAGAAAGGAGGGAUAGAUGCAAAAGGAGGAGCAAAUUUGGUUGCGUGGAAGAAUGUGUGUAAGAGUCGAAAGAAUGGAGGAUUAGGGGUUAAGGACAUGACCACCAUGAAUGACGCCCUUCUCACAAAAUAGUGGUGGAGAUUGCUAACUGAGCAAGACCUCCUUUGGACCAAGUUUAUCAACGCGUUAUGUUAUUGUAGGAGGAAACCAUUGCAAGAAGGAAGGACAUUCAGACCUGCCUCACAAUGGUCGAAAAGCGUGGUUAGACUUAGGGAGGUUUUUAAAUGCGGAGUUAGCUAUAACCUAGGGGAUGGACGCUUAGUUGACUUCUGGUUACACAAAUGGUGUGGAGAAAUCUCACUACAGUCCCUAUUGCCUGAGCUUUUUAAUAAAGUGGAGCUCAAGGUGUGCAAUGUGAAAGAUUGUUUUUCUACCAACGGAUGGAGAUGGAGAAAAAUCUUGAAAGAAACUGAAUCAAAAAGUCAACGACUUGGACGGACAAUUCAGGAGUUUAGGGAGCUGCUCUCUAAUUUUCAUACUGUAUAUAGUCAGGAUGAUUUAUGCUGGCGGUGGAACAAGGGGCAAAGAUUUACAAUUAAGUCUGUAUAUGAAAUGCUUAAUGAUGGGGGAGUUAAAGAUGAUCUACUAGCUAAGAUAUGGAGAUUACGCAUACGAAUGAAAGUGAAGAUCUUCAUUUGGCUAGUGCUGAAGAAAAGAAUUCCCACUAUAGAUAAUUUAAAUAAAAGAUGGUGGACGGAGAAUCAAUUUUGUGUUCUGUGUGCAUGUGCGCAAGAAAUAGUGGAUCACCUAAUUUUGACAUGUGUGUUUAGUCGCUUUCUUAUGGCGUGCAUUUUUUAUGAGGCAAUGGAUGUCCAGUUUGGCGAUGAUGUUAGAGGCCUUUGGGAGAAGGAGAUGGAAAGAGGAAACGGUCAGGCAGCUAUAAAGAGGCAGUGCUCCCUGGCAGCAAUCUGGUGGGUGCUCUGGAGACAAAGAAACAAUAUUAUUUUCAGAAAUUUGAGCUCAGAUCCAUUGGAGGCUGCUAAAAUUUGCAAGGAGAUGGUGAAACAAUGGGCAGAGAAUUGCUGAUACUGAAUGCAAGUUACGAGGGGAUUGGUACUGCUGUGUAGAUUUUUCUUUUUUCUUUUUCUUUUUCUUUCUCUCUCUCUCUCUCUCUAUCUCUCUCUUUUUUUUUCUUUUUUUUUUCCUUUUUUUUUUUUGAGGCCUAGUAGCCUUACAUUUUGUAGCUAAGUUUAUUUUCGAAAUGAAUGAAACGGGUAGCGUGCUAUCUUUUUUUCAAAAAAAAAAAAAUUUGUAUAGAAUUAAAUAAUUUAAUUGGUUGCUAAUUCUAUCAUAUUUAAAAAUUUAAACUAUUUUAUAUUAAGGAAAGUAAGAUUAAUCAAAACAAUAUUAUCUAACUGAGGCAUAAAAUUUAACAAAAUUAUAAAUUUAAUUAAAUGUAAGAACUCACACGAAAAGAAUUAGAAAAUAAAAGGGUGAUAAACUGAUAAUACGAAAAAAUUAAAGUUGAUCAGUCCAUUUGAGAAUAAUCCAUAGUUGAGGGGUCUUCAUAAAGUUUUUACCGAAUUAGAGAUUCUUAUUUAAAUCUUUUUUAGUGUCAUAAUCACGUAUUAAUUAAAACUAAUAAUUACGAAUUAAAUAAGCCUCACCGUCGUAUAAAAGACCUCUCGUCUCCCUUUUCCGUUCUCUUUCCCCUUUCUCCGAUUCCCCUCGUCGACGAAGCGUCUUCACAAGGGAGGAGGAACCGGAAAGCGUUUUGAGGUAAUCCACCCGUUCCCCAUCCCUUCGAUCGGUUUCGAUCGCUCGAUCUCUCCUUUUGUGGUGUUUUGAUCAAUCUAGGGUUUGUUUUGCGUUGGAUCUAGGUGCUGUCGCGGCCAUGGCUUCGAAACGGAUUUUGAAGGAGUUGAAAGAUCUCCAAAAGGAUCCUCCCACUUCUUGUAGCGCAGGUAUUUUAUCAGAUUUUCUUCAUUUGUUUUGGAAAUUUUGUGUGCGAUUUGUUAAGGUUUAGAUCUAGAUUCGUGGUGUUUGGAUUCUCGUUUUCUUCCGUUGUAGAAUCAUAAGUAUAAUUUUUUCGGUUUGAAUCAGCUCGAAAGGAUGUAGAUGCUAAUUUUUUCCACGUAAAUUUGAUGUUUGUUCACAUUUAUUGUAGAUCCAUGGAAUUAGAUGUGAUCUCUUUUGUUUGAAUUAUAUAGAAGCUAAAUUUUAAAUCUUCUGGAUGUUCUUUUCCUAUGCGUUGAGGAAGAUAAUGAAUGUUAUAAGCUCGAUAAGCUUCUUGAAUAUUUUGUAGGAUUGCUUAAUUGAAGAUCAGAUCCUUUGUACUUGAUCUAGAUAUUUGAUGGUACUUUUGAGGGGGAAAAACAACUGCUUUCAAUAUAUGUAGAUCGUUAAUGGGGCAAACUUCUUGUAUCUAUGGUCACAAUUUUCAAUUUUUGUUACUGUAUGAUACAAAGAUUGAAAAGCUCUGAAAAUAUGAUUUGUGGUUUUUAUGUACUUAAAAUUGUUUUGAUCACGUUUGAAGGCAUUGAUCUUCAAUAUAGAUGUCCUAACAUGCAUAUUGAUUCGGAAGGAAUAGAAUUCAAAUCCUUUCAAGUAUAUUCUGCUCUACUAAGUUGGAUGAAGUUGAUGGUUGGGUCUGUUGAAGUUGCAGAUCUUUUGGCAGUAAUUUCAGUAAUGUAUACUUUUGAAAUUUUGAUGUGUGCCUUUUGCUUACUAUUUAUCGGAAUAGAUUUCUUUGUUUACCACUUACCAGUCUUCUGCUGAAUUAAGUGAAAUUUUCACUUAUUUUUACCAAAAGUAUGGUAAGAAUGUCUUGCUUCCAUCUUUUCUUUCGGUAAGCUUGUGUCAUCAUGUUUCCUUUUUGAUAUGUUGUACUGUGUUUUCAUGCAGCAUGUGUGAUGCAACAGUUUUGUAGCAAUACUCUAAUGAUGGGACUAUGCUGACAAUAUUGUAGCAGCAUUAUAGUAAAGCAUAUUACCCCUCUUAUCUCAAUGUAUUCAUGCUAUCCCUCCAAAGAGUUUAAUUGGAACCCAAAUAGAAGGCUUUUUGAUGUCCUCAGAUACAAUGUGAUGGCAGUGCCAAUUGAAAUCUGCAAUCUUAUUGUGGAAGCAACAAUCAAGUAUAUAUAUGCGUGCUGUCUUUUAUGUAGCUUAUGCCAUUUUUCUCUGUCUGCACAAUGUUACUGAAAAUAUAUCAUUGCCUACUAAUCUCUUUCUAUCAAAUAACUUGAAACUAAAACAUUCUAUUGGCCAGAAUCAGUGAGAAUCACGGGCCUACAUUAUGCAACAAUGCAUCUUUAAGCCAUAAAAGUAAUUCUAAACACUUACUGUGUCCUUUGGGACUUGUAAUGCCCUCUAUCAUGCUUUUCUAUUUUUUGGAACCAUCAAGCUUCUGUCACCAAAAAAAAAGGGGAUCCUUCAUGCAGUUAAAGCAGAUCUUGCUUCCGGGAUCUAGGCAUUUUUGCAUUUAGCAUUUUUCUUUCUUCACAUGUUGUUGUUAUUAUAAUUUGUUGGAAUUCACCUAUACAUAUUUCGUGUAAUUUUCUUUUGCAGAGUAAUAGGAUGAUAGAAGUGGUGCACUUGAAUGAAAACAACCAUUUUACAUAUAUCAAAUGGUAGCACUUUACAUAUAAAAAGGGUCUAGUAGGGGUGUGCACAUGUUAGGUUUUGGUCUCCCUAACAAGCCUCACCGACCCAACUUGACCAAAUAGCUGUAACAGCAUCAGUCUGUUUUGAUUUAGUUUGGGGUUUUACCGUUUGCUAAAGAAGUGAAGAGGCCCAUUAAAUUUAACAGAAUCUUUCUUUGGUAUUUUAAAGAAAAAACUCAAAUGAAAUGAUGAAAUAACUUGAAUCAAAGUAAGUAAAAUUUGAGGGAAUGUCAUGGAAAAAAAAGAAGUUAAUUCGGGACCUAUUUUAAAGUUGCUUUUAGUUGAUGGCAAGGAUCACUGUGCCACUAGCAUGGCACAACACAGUGGUAGGGGGCAUGCCAAUGUCGACACGUCCCCUGCCGGUGGCACGCCACUAGCACACUGGCACUCAUUGGAAUGAGUUUUUUUUAAUAAAUUUUUAUGAAAAAUUAGUUUGUUGGAGUGUCUUAAUAUCUUUAAAUGCUAUAAAAAUGGUUUAUGUAUUAUAUCUUACACAAUUAAGUAAGAAUUGAAUCAUAAUCAUCUUAAUAACUGAAGAAAUCAUUUAUAUAUGUUAUGAAUGUAUAUGCUUGAAGCCAAAACUAAAGUCAUAAUUGGACAAAAAUUAAUAGGGAAACACUUCCAUGGAUAAAAUCACUAGAUUUAAGCCUUUAACAUGAUGAAAGAAAUUUGAGGAAAUCUUUUUAUUUGUCUUUUUUCAUUUAAAGUUGGUCUUGUAAUGCAAUGGAACAUACUGAUUGCUCCAAAUGUUAGUACAUUUACAAGAUCUAUAUAUUUUUAAGUAUGGUUUUUUUUUUUUUUUUUUUUGGGUAAAGUGUUAUGUCAAAAGAGCUAAAAAAGAUCCCAAAAAAUGUUAAAAAAGCCAUUUUGUUGAUACAUUACCGACACGAUCCCGUGCCACAUGCCGCCAUUGUGUGGCACGGGCAGCACUAGGUGGCACUGGCUCCUUAGUUGAGGGACUUUCUGUAGCCACGCUUCUGUCAUUGUAAUGCUUAAAUAAAGAUGAAUACAGAUGUAAAUCUUCUUUGAAUUCAAGAAAUAUAGAUAUGUAAAAAAUUGGCAGGUAAUAAUUUGCAUAUACAUCAUCAUUUAGGCAAUAAGAUUGUCUUCUUUCAAUUUCCAUUGUGAACUUUCUUCUGAUUAGUUCCACCUUAAAUGGGAGCUCUUCUACAUUUUUUGACUCUAGAGCUUCAAUCUUGAAUAAUGACAAUGUGAAAUUUCCUUCACAACUCAGAUGAAGCACUUCCCUUUCUAUUUUGGAGUUCGGAGCCUUGACAAAAACUUGAAUCAUGAACAUCUGGAAUUUCUCUGGCAAUUUGGAAUCACAAUGUUGCCUGAUGUGGAUAUGAACUUUGUUAUUAUACUAUAGUUGUCCUUUUGUUUGUAUUAGUAAUCUGUAUAUUUUAGCUUUUGAUAGGCCCUGUGGCGGAAGAUAUGUUUCACUGGCAAGCAACUAUUAUGGGUCCUCCAGAUAGUCCUUAUGCAGGUGGCGUCUUUCUGGUUACAAUUCAUUUCCCCCCGGACUAUCCAUUCAAGCCCCCGAAGGUAUUGACAAAUUCAUACACUUCAUCUAUGCCAUUAUGCUUCUUUUCUCUGAAAGUUAUAUACUUUAUUCUGUGAAUGUUCAUUUUCCUAUUUUAAAACUGUAGAUGUACUGAAAUAUUUUCUUCAAUUUCUUCAGACUCGUUUUUGUGGUACCUGUCAACUGAAGAUGAAUAGGAGAAACCUGCAUACUCUAUUGAUUGGUUGCAUGUAGUGCAAUGCUUCUUGAUUUACUGUGGUAGUCUGUCUGUUAGAUUUCUGCUGAUAUCUGCUGAAUAUUUUGUGGUUGCUCUUCGUUCUUUCUGUGCUAUUGUCAAGUUUGAUCUUUGAUUUAUUAUUCGCAAUCUUUCUACUUUGGUUUCAUGGUAUUCUUGAUAAGCUAGAAUACCAAGAAGAAGAAUACCCACGUUGGUUUAGAUAGAUCAAGCAAGAGUAAUAGGCGGGGGAGUACCUGUCCAGAAAUGUUCAAAAGGGUGGCAAUGAAUUAUCUCUAAAAUAGAAGCCUUUGGCUCAAUAUAGGGUUAAAAGUGUCGAUUUUCUAUGAUCGAGCAUGUGAUUUCAUAUUUCAGAUUAUUUAGUAUACAUGAGUACUAUUAUGUAUGUGCACAAUUUUUCACUCUGGGAAAAAGUUUGGACAGAACAAAUGUUGGCCCAACUCCAGCCCAUAAUUUUUUUGGGUCCUGACAUUUGACUCAGCCCAACCCAAUGGGCAACAUGUAUGACAAAUCUCUUGUCCUAUUUCAGGUUGGCCUACAUGCCAAAGGGCCAGCCUGACCCAUUUGUCUCCCUAUAAAGAAUUGUCUAUUUGUUAGAAAGAUGAUCGCCGAUUUUAUUUCUCCAACUCUACUAUUGUUUCAUGUUCUCUAAUAAUUUGGAUUUGUUCAGAGCAGUUGGGCAUAGAAUUUAUUGAGAAUGUGUUUUUGAUCACUUUCUUUUUCAUUAUUAUCAAAUUUACUGGUUGUACUGUAGGCUUUAAUUAGUACAAUGAAAGUUACUCCUGUGAUACCUUAAAAAAAGGUUAAAAAAAAGGAAGAAGUCACCGCUCUUGUGAAGUAUGGAUGACUAUGCGAUACAGAAACAGCAGAAAGUUGUGUGGAUCUAACUCAUUUUAAACAAAUUUUAACUCUCGAGAUACUCGAAAAGGCUUAUAGACUAGAUAUUUUAGAGUUUAGACUUAAAUCAAACUGAUUUAUAGCUUGCUUAAUCAAAAUCCAGCCUGUUUUGAUUGGCCUUGAACCAACACUGGUCUUUUUCUAGCCAGUCUUGGUGCAGGAUUAUGUUUUUCAGAAGAAAAUUUGCAUAAUUUCCAUGAUAUAUUCUCGUGUUGUUCAAGUCUAUUCUGUAAACAAAAAUCAAAAAUAUGUUUUUGUGCUAUGAGUAUUAGUGCUGGAUAUUAUGUAAUGCUAACUAUUUAUAUGCUAUGCUUAUGAAUAAGCUCAAUUAAAGAUGUCAUUUCUGAGCAAAUUUGUUGGCUAUUAUGAAGGUGGCUUUCAAGACAAAGGUUUUCCAUCCAAAUAUUAACAGCAAUGGAAGUAUUUGCCUGGAUAUCUUAAAAGAGCAGUGGAGUCCAGCAUUAACGAUUUCCAAGGUGAUUGGUUUUCUUGCGCAUCUCUCCAUGUUCAUACUUACAUAUUUCUUGCACUUCUCUCCAUUAAGCAUAAACUCCAUUGUGAUUGGACAAGCUCAUCAUGCCAAUUGCAAUAGCUUGUAAAUUUCUGUAUUAUGCUCCAGUCCCUGCCUUUAUGGUUAGUUGGACCUGGAUUCCCUAUUCUUCCAGGAGGUUCAAAAUUGGUCCACCUUUCAGUUGGUACUGUAUGAUCCCUAAGCUAUGUAUUUGUUUGCAAUCUUUCCUUUAUAAAUUACUUCCUAUGUUGAAGUAAAUUGAGCUUCCCAUGUAAGUGCCAUAUGAGCAGUCCAUGAGUUGUUUGUGCUAGCCGUUAAAUGAUAGUAACAUCAAUUUUUCUAUCCAGUGUAGGAAUUUAAGCAGAGUGUAAGAUUGCAAUAAAACAGUUAGCCAGGGACCCAAUUGUAUUAAGGUUGGGGAUCAAACUUAUACAACUGCUUUUCAUAAAACUUUAAUUAGUGAACUUGGUCUUCCUGAACUCGAGAGGUGGCACUUUUCUGUGCCUUUUCCUCUGUAUCUUUCAUGAACAAUUCACUUGUUACUUAAUGGGCAUUUGGCUUGUCAAGCUAGUGUACAUCCCAAUCCUUGUAACUUGGAGUAUAUUUAUUCGAUUUGAUUCUAAGUUGUCACUCCUUUCAGGAUUAGUAAGGUGAAUUAGGCAACUAGCUGACAUACGCCCCCCGCCUUUUUUUUUUCCCCCCAAGUUCUUCGUUUCCUUUUCAAUGUAGAUAUAUCUCCACGUGACAAUACACAACCUGAUUCUCUAUAGCUGUUCUCACCCAUUCUUUUCCAAUGUCCAGGUACUUCUUUCGAUUUGUUCUUUACUAACGGACCCGAACCCAGAUGAUCCCUUGGUUCCGGAGAUUGCGCACAUGUACAAGACCGACAGGCACAAGUACGAGACCACCGCGAGGAGCUGGACCCAGAAAUACGCCAUGGGCUAAGCACUCAAAACUAGUUAAAUCGGAGAUCGUCGUGGGUGUCUCCGUAUCCAUGUCUUAAAACUUUGUGGUGCCCCUUCUGCUUCUCAGUCAAUAUUAUGUAUAAGUUCAACCAGUUAUAUUAUAACCAUAUUACUGUUCCAUUAAGGACCAAACAGGAAAUUCUAAAACUCAUUGCCGGUAUGGAUUGCUUGCAUUGGAAUUUGGUGUCUGGAACUUCGCUUCUCUGAUUCUCUGUGAUUGAGAAUUUUGGCUUAUUUUCACUUAAUUCCUAUACUAGUUGUUUUCAUUCAUUAUGCCUCUGCAUAAGGUCAGUCUACAAUUGUAGGUGUGGAAAACAUAGUAUAUAGUCAUUUCUAGGUACUUUUAUUUAUUUAUUUAUUUAUUUGAAGAUACAAAGGACGUAUAUAGUGGGAUUCAAACUUGGGACCUAAUGUCUGAAGAGGAAAAUAGGAAUAAGUUACUAAGGCUCUGUUUGGGGUUGCGAGCCUAGCACGGUCUGUGUGACUCGAAAGUAGUCUCUGUCUGUUUUUUAAGUAAUAAUAUGAUAAUAUGUUGAGGAGAUCUUGUUAAGUUCAGUUAUGAUCUUAUUUAUGAUGGUCCUAUUGAAAAUUGAGAAUAUUACAAUAUUUGGUAACACUUUUUCAGGUAGUGGACUCUAAGCAGUGGGGGUAUCGGAUAAAACUUCAGUUAUGAGCUUCCUAACGUUGCCUUGUUGGGAAGCUUUUUAUCCAUUGCCACAUGUUAUUUUUGCUUCUAUCUAGGGUUUUAUUGGAUAUUUUUUAAUACUAAAAUUCUUUUUAAAAAGAAAACUCCAACAAAAGGGGAUUAUAAUUUGUGGAUAGAGCCAAAACCGACAUGUGUUGGCGAAUUUAGGAUUUUAUAUUCUAUGCAACUCGCUUGCAGAUAACUAAUUUGGUACUAAUAAAUUUUAUGUUUUUUUCUUGAAAAGUGCUGGCAGCCAUGCAUUGAUAGAACGAUACACUUUAUCUACGAGAUGAAUUAUUUUACUCUCAAAAAAUACCUUGAAGGUUGAAUAUACUAUUCAAUUCAAAGUAUUUGGUCACGCUCAUAAUUUUCAAUUAUAAAACAAAUCUUCAUACUGAAUAACAUAUUCCAACGUUCAAAUAGGUUUGAAGUAUUUUGGCUUUUCAUGCAUGAAGGGUGGUGGGCAAGGGUAAAUUGAUGAGGAGCGACACCUUCAGAAUCUGAAACUUGGUUGUCUUUUGCUAUAUGUAUAUAUAUUACUAUAUUUGUUUGUUGACUUACUAUUUCUCCAACACCACCACCACCACCACCGCCACAACCACCAAUCAUGCCCAGCUGAAAAAGCCACCUCAACCACCACGCGCGCUGCUCCUUCUUAACUUUCCUUGCGCGCGCGCGCUCUCUCUCUCUCUCUCUCUCUCUCUCUCUCUCUCUCUCUCUUAUAUAUAUAUAGAAUUAGGCUGGAAUACUAUUAAUAGUAAAACGCUCUUUUUGCUAUCAAAUUUUUAAUUAUUGGAUGAAAAAUUAUAGGGUCGGAAUGAUAUUAGUCGGUUAGAGUUGAGUGGUCCCCCUAGGGUUGAGUGGUCCCCACUGGGUUAUAGUAUUUAAUCCCAAAAGAAGCUUUAGUGAAAUCCUAGGAUAUAUUAUUCAUACACUGGUGUCACUAAAAAUUUAAAUCUAUAUCCAUCAAAAGUCAUAAUUUUUCGCAACUCUUUUUAAUGUAACGAGGCAAAUUAUAGAUACUUUCAAUUGCUGAUUUAUUGUGAUUACUUGAUGCCUAGGUAAUAUAAUUCCAUAAUCAUAGUUCUUCAUAUAUAUAUAUAUAUAUAUAUAUAUAUAUAUAUAUAUAUAUAUAUAUAUAUAUAUAUAUAUAUAUAUAUAUAUAUAUAUACCUCUUAAACUAUUUAGAAGUUGUAGAUUACUUACUGCAAUAAUUUCUAUACGAAUAUGGGUUGUAAAUGUUAGUGAGGAAUUGUUUUGUUCCUUUUGAGAACACUCAGAGGAGGGUGGCCCACUAGCGGGGUAAUGGGCCUUUAGCAGGCUUUAUUCGAACAAUUGAUUCCCCUGAUCAAAUUGUUUGAUUUGCCACUCAAACUCAAAUGAUUGCAAUUGAUAUGAUACAUGGUACCACUCUACUGGACAAAUAUUUUGCCUAGACCAGAUGUUUCUUUUAUCCAGUUUUAAAGGAAAAAAAAAUAAUAAAAAAGAAAGCUACUAUUCUCUGAUAUAUUACUCAUUACGCACAAGCUCAAAGAUAACGGAAUCGAUCGGCUCCGAUACCAUGUUACUUAUUAGAAGAUUAAACAGGUAGGUUACUAUCGAGAAAUAUUCUUUAAAAUCCGCCAACUUUCCAUGCAAAUGAUUCUCGUAAGUUGUAACAUAUACAUAGUAUUUGGUAAUUAUUACUUAAUUUAACGAUUUUCUGCUUAUUACUUGACCAAAUACUUGAAGUAAUAACAUGGAUAUCUAUUGUUAGGUAUAAAAAUAGAGGGCAAAUAUUUUUUUCUCCUCUGAAAAAAAAUUUACUUCUCGGAAGUUACAUUUUCGAGAUUAGUUUGUUUCAUUGGUUAAAUCAUUUUAUCAGCCAAAAUGUAGGAGGUUCUUCGGUAAAUAUACUUUGUAUUUAAGGAGAUGCAGUUUAUUCUCCUUUUUUUUUAAAAAAAAAAAUUCAAAUGCUUUGGAGUAGAAUUAUGGUUGACUAAAACAGAUAUGCUACUUUCGAAACCGAUUGAUACAUGAAUGAUUUUGUUAAAUACUACUAUUAGUCUAAUUCAUAUUUUUAGGUAAAGCCAUAGUCAAACUGCAAUGUCAUUAAUCUAAUCAUUCAAACAAGGCUUAAUUAGUUCACUAAACAAUGUUAAACAUGAAAAUUUAGAAGCCUAAUUAUUCUCAAAAAGUGAUCAAACAACAAUUUUUUGGCAUAAGAACCUCUGCAAAUAUCUGGCAUUAUCAGACUCAAAUUUCAAAGUCAAAUGAAAUUAGAUAUUUUGGAAGUUGACUAUGAUUUUUGUGUACAUUUCCUAUUAAUUUGUGAGAUCUUAGUGCCUUAUUAGUGGUGCUCCAUGAUGUCUACUUUGGGUAAUGUCUACUAUCAAGUGGCCUUAUUAAUUGUUGGAACAUUGUAACUCUAGAUGUGCGUUUUGAGGACCACAAUGUGAUGAUGCAUGUAGAGAUGCAACACAAAAUGCCCUUCAAUUCAUUUAUUUACUAUGAAGGUGUAAUGAGUUGGAAGUAAUAGCACUAAAAGAGGAAUGAUGAUAUUAAGAGAUUCAUCGUAAUUAUUGUUGAUAGAUAAAUUCGUAAGGUCUAGUCACCUUUUACCAGAUGAAUUGAUUAGAUUCAAUGAAUUUGAUCAACUCGCAGAGAACGUAGAUAUGUUAUAAUGAACCAUUUUCCUUAAAUGUGCCAAUUAUAUAUAGAACGAUCAAAAUCAAUUAAUCUGGUCUAUUUGAUAAGAAUAUCCAGAAAUAGUAUUAAUACUUUUGCUCACGUACAUGGAGGAGACUACAUGAACUUCGAGAGUUGCCUCCAAUAGAAAAAUGGUAAUGAAAAAGAAUAUAUAGUAAUUACAUAAUCAAAUUAUGCAAAGAAUUAAACCUAAGACCUCUAUGAAACAAAGAGGGCUUAUGACCAGCUCUGAUAUCAUAUUAUCUAAAGUAUUAAUUUAAUAGAUAAUUUAAAUGAAUUUCAACAAGUGAAUAAUAGUAAGUAGAUUUGAUGAAUCUCUUCAACAAUAGUUAAAUUAACUCUAUUAUUAGCAACAUCGCUUCGUUUUGCUUAAAAGUCCACUCCAACUGGGGUGCUUGUGUGUGUAGCGAUACGAUGACGAUCGAAUCUUUUUCAACUCAGAUGUUAGCACUAAUUAGUGCAGUGAUCUUAAGUUCAACUCUAUUAUAUUGGCCAUGAUUCCCCUUUCUUAAAUGUCAUAGACAAUGUUUUAUAAAGAAUCUCAGAGAGGCUAAGACAUGGCUUAAUUAUUUGUUAGUCAAAACUGCCAAAAACUUCAUUUAUUAUCUUACCAAGCUUCAAUGUUCAAAUGAGUGGUUUAUGUACAUAAAGCCUAAAUUAAAUAAUAAAAGUUAAACACUUGUAGUUGACAAUAGAAAUAUAAUUGCUGCAAUCAAAUGGAUGUUUACUUUCACAUAAAUGGUUCGGUUCGAGUCAUUGUACUACAUAGUUUGUGAUUAUAUAUGUACUUUGCGAUUGGUUUUGUACUUUGCGAUAAUGUGCAAUUGCUUAAGUCUUAACUUUAAUCAAGGGGAAAAUUUGUUGUAAAUGAUAAUUGACUUGCAUGCUCUUUGCACACAAUCUUUCUUAAAAUUAAAUUUGUAAAUAUACCACAGCUAGACGAAUUUGUUGAUGCUGAUAUCUUGUAAUUAAUGGUGCAAGUGGUAGUGAUAGCGUAUAAGUUUGUCAUGCAUUUGUUGACCUUGAGGUCAGGACUUUAAACCUCUGUGUAACCUUAAAUUAGGAUUCGUGGCCCUGAGUUUUAGCCUCUGUGUACGCUUGAAUUUUGAGUGGUAUGUAUGAUGACGUGGUAGACCAGGUCGAGGUAAUAGUUUCCUGUGCUUUUGGAGUUAAGCACGUACUCUCUUUAGGAACCAAAUUGACUUUGCCAUCUCUACUGUAAGUUACAUUUCACAUUCAAUGUACCGAUCUGCUCCCCUAGAGAUAUUGGAAAGCAUAAGUUGGAAUGUAAGUAUUACGUACUUUGUUUUUGCUGUGAUAAUUUAGAUAUUAUGAAAUAUUCUAAAUUUUUGGCACUAAAUUUUUAACCCAUAAUUAAAGACAUAACAGUAUGAUAUUAAAUCAAUCCUGGGUGGUUUAAUCUUCACCUUUAAUAUUUAGUUUUAUUAGCUAAAUUUCCAAUACACUAUGCCCACUCUUGGGAAUAGAUAGAAGUAGCUAGAAUAUAAAAGGUGACAACUAAUGAACAACUACAUAUAAUAAUUAAGAUAAUUACACACAUCAUGAGGUGGUAGGGGUAACUCUUAUCUCCAAAAGAGCUAAUCGUUUCUACCCAAAUUCUACUCGUAUUUAUACGAAAAGUGGGCAUAGUAAUAUUAACACACAGAACCUAAAAUUAGAUAGUUGAUACAAUUAUGAAAAUAAUUUAGCGUACUUAAUUAUGCUCAAAAUGAUAAUUGUACAAAAGACCAAAAACAAAAUAGUAAAAAACUGACAUACCAAUGCAAAUACAAAAUUAUAAAAUUUCAUAAGUGGGCAAAGUAUUUUUCGUUCCUAGUUUUCUUAUGAGAGGAAAAAUUUAGAAGUUAUUUAAUUUUUUGAAUUAAAGAUAUACCAAAAAUUUAUAUAUACUUCUUUGAUGCACAAAUAGUAUUUCUCUUCCUACAAUAAGAGUAGGGAAAUUAAUGCAAUCAAAGCCGCAUGGAUGCACACCAUCCACAUGUGUGGAAGGGAAAGUUGACAACAACCCUGUCAACUGUUCUUCACAUGUCCUUCAUUAAUUGCUGCUGUUUAUGUGUUUCAAGUUUCAACGCCUUGCGCACAACCUAGCUAGCUAUAUUACGUUCCCUCCUGUGUAACAAUUAUUGUAGUAUGUACAUAUAAAUAUAUAUAAUUAUCUAUAGAUAAUAUCAAGCCCACAUGACUCAUUUUAAUCAGCACAGCUAUACUAAAUAUUAGAGUUCAGAGUGUAAGAUAUAUGCUCCAUGCUCUAAGUGAAAAAUUAAUGAUUAAGCCACCACAGUACCUUUUAAUAAAGGUUCAAACCAAUUAAUCGAAAAGCUUUUAAAUAAAUAAAUGGAAAAAUCAAUGACGAGGAUUUCAUUACACGUCGCAUGACAUGUGUUAAGUGUUGCAUAUAUUAACGUUGUAUGAAUUUGGUGCGAUAAAAGAUUCACACUAAUUGUGCUUGAAAAAAUCCAAUAUAUAGAAUCAUAUGAGAACCGGAUAAAAUCUGAUUGAAACGGGGCCACUAGAAAAAAACACUGGGACACAAAUAAGGUUGUGAAUAUCGUUCUGAUUCCACGUUAGAGGGUACGAAUCAACGUAACAAGCUUAGGCUGAGUAAGUGCAGGAAUUAAUUAUUAUUAUACAUUAUUUAUAGGUCUGGAAUAUUGUUUCUAACUCAAAUGUGAAACCAAUUAAUAUUGUUUAACAUCCUUUUUUUUUUUUUAUUUGCUCACUCACGCUAAAGAAGUUAUUUUUUAUCGAGUUCAUAGAAAAGCAGCUUUAUCUUCUUGAAGAUAAGCUGUUCUAAGUUGCAAAUGGAUGCAUUGUCCAGUUCUUUAAGUGAUCCUGCACUGUUCUAGAUUUGCCGAUUUAUUUUCUUGUACGCGGAUUGUCACUGCCUCACAAGUUGGUGAUGCAGUAAUGGUAGAUAUAUAGAUCGUGCAUGCAGUAUAAUAUUGCCUCUAGAAAGAAAUGUGUUAGAUGUUGAAUAAUACGCAUCGAGCAUGGAUAUGCAACAUGGAUAUGCAACAAGGGCGUUUAAAGUGUACAAGAUUAAUUAAGAUUGCAUUAAGUCCAACAAAACAACAUGUCUCCUGCAUGUACGUCCCUUGCACGAUUAACUUUUGUAAUACAAACUAAAUCUGACUAAUAUCUAGAUCAGCAUGAUCAUUGUGAUAUCGUGCGCGGAAAUAUUCCUUGCAAGCUUUUUUUAUCUUAACUUGUUUCUUCAUGGCUUGCAUUUUAGCAGCAACAUAGAUCAAGGCUCACCAUGCAUUCUCACAAAUCAUGAAUUUAGAGACUUAAAACUAAAGGUAUAUAUAUAUAUUGACACUGUAUAUCUAAAAUUGGUGUUAUCCUACAGUUAUGUGGUUGUUCUUUGCAAAUUGAGGUAUCAAUCUCUUCAAAAAUUGCUUCAUCUGUUUCCACAAUUAUGAGGCUUUCACUGAAGAUCAUGCAACUGCAAGAGAAAGUUUUUACAUAGUGGAUUAUCAUUAGGGACAUCAUGGAGGGAGGUAAGCUAGCUAGGAUGCGUCGUCAUUUCGAUUAUGUGAUGGUUGAUUAUCAUGGCCUACAGGGCACUUGCCUGAUUGAUCAUGUUAAUUAUGCAUUCAUGUCUAUGUGAAGGAAAAUGCACAGGUAAUCAUAAUGUUAGAGUUUGAAAAUAUUUUUCUUUUAUCGAGAUUUUUUGUAUUGUAAAAUAAAGGGCGAUACCCUGUGCAUUGUCAAACAUUUGGUAGUGUUAUGUUUUCCAUUUUUUUUUCCCUUCAACAUUUUGAGGUAUAUAUAAAGCAUACAAUACGAAUUUUCUUUGCUUUUGCUAUUCUUGUUUGUUUAUUUGUUUGUUUGCAUUGAGAAUGAAAAUAGCUUGUAAUUUUUCUUUGUAUGUUUUAUGCGAAAAAGAACUUCUCUUUGAAGGUGGAAAACUUUGUAUAGAAAGUAGAGAUGUCAACGGGUCGGAUUCGGAGCGAAUUUUUAAAAACCCGAACCCGAACCUGACUCCAAACCCGAGACCCGAACUUGACGGAUUUUAAAAAUCCAUAUCCAAACCCGAACCCGACCAAAAAUCCGAAAUCCGAACCCGAACCCGAAAAUUUGAACCUGAAACAAUUAUUUCUUUCUUCAAUAUUUCAAAAUAUAUUAUAUUAAAUCUAAAUUUUUAAAAUACAAAUUCAAAUAUAACAUCAAAUUUUUAUAUAUAAAUAUUAUAUAUAAUACAAAAUAAAUUCGGAUUCGGGUCGAGUUCGGGUCGGGUCAGGUACAAUCAAAAUCCAUAUCGGAAUCCAUAUCCAGCUGGUUUUUAACUAAGAGAGAGAGAGAGAGAGAGAGAGAGAGAGAGAGUUUUCAGCUUAAGUACAAUUAACCUCAAAAAUGUUGAGAAGAAAAGACCAAAUCAAUGCAAGAGACCCCCAAUAUAUCAUCAUUCUUUUCUUUUUAAUUUUAUAUAAAUGUAUAAUAUUUAAUUACAUGUAUAAUUAAAUUAGUUGUCUCCAAUAGGUUAACUUUACGUAAAGAUGGUAACUCGAUACAUGCUGUAAUCUUCGUGAUCAAUAUUAUCAAAUUGCUGAUGGUGACAUCUCAUUCAUUGUUCAAAUGAAUAAUGUAUCGAUGUAAAGUGAUAAUCAAAUAUAUAGUGUGAACCUCCAAAAAUGGUAAUUAGAUAGUUUGGACCUGUAGUUUAUAUGUCAUAUAUAUGGUUUAUUUUCUUAAGUAUAGGACCUAAGUCCCCUUCAAUUAAGGUGCUCUCACUUAACAGUCGAGUGUUACUAGAGAAGCUUACUAUGUGUUAAUUAAAGCUUUUACCUUUAGGGUCUCAAUUUGGUCUCCAUGUUAUUGGUGGACCAACUAGGAUUGCUAUGCAUGCAAACACAAAUUUUGAAUUAACAUGUAAAAUGCCAUGUUAUUGUUACCAAUCUACUAGUUUAGAUCACUAAUUACUAUACAUCUUAUUGCGUGGAAAUUAAUAACAGUGCUCAUAUAUAGAUAGAAGCAUUCAUGCUUUAUCAAAACCCACAAUUAAUUAAUUAGUUAUUUUAACAUUUGGUUGACUCGUGCACAGUUACUGGAUUAUGAAUUUUAAUACCGUAACUUUCCUAAUAAGGGGACCUAUGUCCUAUUUAACACAUUACAACCCUUUUCAACUGCGUAGGGUCAUCUCCCGUGUAUAAUAUAUAGCUUAAAUAGUAGUCACCAACCCACAUGCCUACACGAUCAAUAUAGUCAAAUCAAAUACUCCACACACAUUUAUUUAUAUCUUUAAACAUAUUCAUAUCCCUCUUCUUCUUAACCAUGUAAGGGUAGGGGAGUUGAGAAAAAAAAAUUAAGCCUGGUUCAGUAGAGGGGGUUCGUGCACACGAGUGGGCAACCUAAACCCUAAAGACCAGGUGGCCUAAAACCAUAAUAUAACGUGCUCUUUCUAUAUAUAUGUUUUCAUAAUAAAAUAAAAUAGUACACAUUCUAAUGUACAUAUAAUAACUAUAUUUUGUGGGUCACUGAGACUUUGGCAUGUAAUGGAGACAAGAACAGGAGCCACAAAGGUGAGGACCCCCCACUAAGGAUCCCAGUGGAUGAUGACGUGGCCAUUGUCUCGUGUACACGUGGGAGGGUCCCACGUGGUUAGCUGGGCUUUGUCUAGGGUUUGUACUUCUUUUGGUGUACUUGGAACAUGUAGAAGCACCUUUUAGAUGAUGGAUAAUAAUAAUACAAUAUUAAUGGCCACAAUUUUGCAUGUCUUCUGGGAAUUGUUUUGGACUUUUAUUCAUGAAUUAUUUUGGUGUUAGUAGUACUCUUGAUACUUGGAACUUGAGCUAUUUAAUACAAGCUUCUUUGCUUUAUAUGCAACUAAAGUUGCCAUGUAUAUAUUUUGGGCAAUUUUCUUUCAAAAAGUGGCAUCCAUAAAUAAUUAAUUAGUUGUUUUACUUCAAUUUUAUAUGUAGCCGUUUUAUUUAUUUUUGCAUUACUUUAUGAGAGUUGGCUCAAUGUUCAUUCCCAUUUCUAAGUGAUCUAUAAUAGUUAUUGUCCAUUAUUUUGUUAGAGUAGCAAAGUGACAUGCAUGCUAAUAGAAAUAAAUCUAUGAGUAGAAUAUAGAAAAGAAUGCUGAUGAUAGGUGUUGUUAUAUAAAUUUUGAACCUUUAUAAAUUCUAUUGGAAGAGUAGAAAUUAACUAUCACUUAAUUCUAUAUGCUUUAGUUCAUUUAUAUAUACUGUUAUACCAAUAAUUAAGUGACUUAUAUCAACCAUUAAAAUUUUAAAUUUGGAGGCACUUUGAUUGUCAAGUAGAAAAUGUGUACAAAUUUUUUUAGCUUUUAGAAACUCUAAAUAUUCUAUCUUAUAUUUAAUAAUAUGGAUUGCCGAUUCGAAUGCUUUAUUAUUAAAAAAUUAGAUUGCACAUGUAUAGGAUCUCACGAUUCAUACACACUAUACAAAAAUAAGAUCUUUUAGUCUCGCCAUCAUAAGCAUGGAACUUUAAAACUCAUUAAUUAACACAUAAUUAGUUAUUUUCCUAUGCUAUUUUAUUCAUCAUGUCACUACAAUCGACCUAGCUAGCAAGUAUGAUGAUUUGUGAUUUUUAACUUUGCAUCUGAUCAUCAUGGUCCCCUCUGGAUCCAAGUGAAAAUAUUUGAACUUGUAUAGACUAUAGAUACAAAGAUACAUUCAAUUGCGGAUUAUGGUUGCUAAUUUAUGUGAUUCAAUUCCGUAAUUAACAUUUAAAGGUAAUGGCGCUUGUGUCUCCUCAAUUAUCUUACAUAUAUACUCAUUGUGCCCUUAAACUAUAAGACAGAUUUUGCAUAUGCAUGGUGCAAAUUAAUUAACGUAUGAGAUUCACCUAAAAACUUGCAUGCAAUUUUCAACUUUUGAAUAAUUUUCGUGCAAUCUCAAAUAUUUAAACGUGUGUGUGUAUGCGCAAUUGGCUAAUAAUGGUUGGUAUUUAAGAUUCCAAGUUCGAAAUCUAAUUAUUUAAUAUUUAUCGCUAAUUUAUUUCUAAAAAAUCAAUGAAUCAGAUAAAUUGCUAUUUUUUUUUAAAAGAAAAAAAAGCUUCAUCAUAAAAUAUUAAAUAUAACAUGAAAAUAUCCAUCGUAGGGUACUUCUAGAGGUAUUCUAAUUUAAUUUCCAGUUGUGUCCUAAUGGGUGAUAACACAUGAUUUUUCCUUUUUUUUUUUUCUAAAAGAGGUGAUAAUUUACUUAAUUAAUUAUUUAUGCUCUCGCAUGUAAAUUUUAUGUAACGAUAUGCCACGUAGGACGAGUCGAACACUCGGUGAUGAACCGUGUGGUCAACGACAGAGUCGUAAGCGGAGGCGAACGGGGAGGGUAGACCCGACCGGACGCCACGUCACCGCCGCAUGCGCGCUGACCGGCGGUCGCACCGGCGAGCGGUUCGAACCGUUCGAGGGGCCGACACGUGUGCGGCGUGGACCGACAAUCGAGGGUCACACAUCGAAGUGUGGGGCCCACGUGGGCGCUCUUACCGAGGCGCGGCAAUUCGCCCACCUUCGUUUCCCGCGACACCGCUCGUACACGAACCGUUGCGGACUCUUCGCCUUUUUUUUUUUUCUUUUUUCUUUUUUUUCUUUUUAUUUUUACUUUAUUUUUAAAAGAAAAUAAAAUUGCCCCUGGACUCCGUAACCAUGCACCACAUUGGAUGCCACUGCACCCCCAACCCAAAAUAAUUAAUUACUAAUAUAUGAAAAAAAAUUUUUGAAAAAAUCAAAUUUUGCAAAUAUACGCAUAUGAGAUUUAAACUGCGACCAUUGAGAAGUCACUCAGAAUAAGAACCACUGUAUUAGACAGUAGUAUAGACACUUCUCAGGCACAACUAGUUGUUCAUCGAUAUCAUUAAUACUCUCGCUCUUGGAAGUGAAGUUUCAAAUUCGAACCUAGCUCAUUCACAAACCGAUGGAUCAAUGCAUUACAUCACUAAAAGAAAAUCUCAAUAUAAAGACGUUUUCUAUUAUAUCAAAUCAAUUUAUUAAAUAAUAAAUUUUAUUAUUAUUUUUAAUUUUUCGACAUUUUAAAGCGUGAAGACUUCAAAAAAUUCUCAAAAAUUCUGACGCUUUAAAAUAUUAGAAUAUAUUUUAAUAAUGUUUGGUAUAAGCGUCGAUAUAUAUGUGAUGAUUCUUCACGUACCAACACUUUUAAAUAUGACGUUAGACUAUAUUUAGACGCUUUUAUGCAUUAUUAAAUAUAAACAAGAAGCGUCCCUAAAUAUUAAUUUUCUUGUAAGCCGAGGAAAAAAAUAUUGAGGAAGUAUACAUGAGAGACCUCCUUAAUUAGCUGUAUGAAAAUCCUUGCAAACAAAACUGUUAAGUAUGAUUAUUUUUUAUUUGAUUAAAACUUUUUAAUAUUUUUAUUUUUUAGUUUUUAAAUAUUUCUCCAGAUUGAGUAAGAACUUGGUAAAAUAAAUUGCUUCACAAGUAAAUUGAUUUAGUAGAACUAUAUAUAUAUCAUUAGUGUAACCAGCAGAUUUUAAAGUUAAUUGCAGAAAUUAAAGUUAAUUGCAGAAAUUAAAUAACUUAAACAAAAAAGAAUAAAAAGUUGAGGCAGUGAUUUAUUAUAAAAUAAAUAGUUUUAAAAAGUCUAUUAAUUAUGCAUCACGCACAUUUUAGUCCUUUUAUAUAAAGUAUAUAUUUAUUUAUUUUAGCUUAGCUGAAACAGCAUUAAAAAGGUUAUUUGAUGACAAAGAGCUCAACUUUAAAGUAUAAAAGCGAGUUGCAAAGUAUGGAUAGUCCAAGGACUAAUUAUAUAACUUACCCAGAUAAAAUUAUACGCAAUUUCAUUGUAUACAUGAGAGUAAUACUCCUGGGGUUGAGUAAUCCCCACAGGGUACGUAAUAGUAAUAAUUCAAAGAUUAGAAAUGAUUAAAAGGGUUGAUCUAAGUGCCAAAAAAUCAAAAGCACCAAAUCUCCUAUGUUUUCGAUAGCAUAUUAGCCUUACUUGUAUAGAUUUGAGUGCACAUUAAUUAAGAUGAGACUACUACUAUGACAGUUAAUGUUUUUCUUUUUAAUCUCUUGGCGAGGGGCCCAAGUUGUACUGAAAAUAAUCAACAAAAACUCCAGUAGUAAAUUAAUUUAAGCUACGAAUAUUGACCAAUAGUAAUAUCCAUCAUUAAUGCAGUAAUCGCCAUCAUUAAUGCGGUCGAAGUUGCCUCAUGAUCUUCAUAGGUUUUGUUAAUAGUAAUAUAGUAACAAUUAUUAUGUACAGUGCCUGGUAUUAUCUUAUCAACUAUGAGAGUGAAUUGGAGUAUAAUAACUUCUCCGAUUUUGUCUACGGCAAUAGUAGUAAUUUUGGCAAAAUUUCAUUCGUGCGCCUCUGGCAAAUCAUCACUCACGUAAAGUUGUUUUUUUUUUAGAGAGAGAGAGAGAGAAAGGUAGUAAAGCUACCUUUUUUCAUUUAUUCCUUAGAAUUUUUUUUUNUCUCAUAUACGAACCAUAAAAUCUCUAGUCAACUACUGAUUAUCUCUAUCCAUGUGGCAAAGUAUUUGAUGGUUGGUACAUAUCGGAGGUCCUUUCUUAAUUAAAAAGGUUAUUUUUCUCUCAAACAGAGCGAGUAACGUGCCAUUUUUCUUAACAAGGAUAUUUUUCUCUCGAAACCUAAUUACGUUGUAUUUAUAACUAAAACGGAGUGGGUAACAAGCCAUUUUUCUCUCAAAUAAAAUCCUCCCCAACUACAUUAGGUACAGUGGUUGUAUUUUAAUAAACACCAAUGCAAUAUCAUGAAUUCCUCUCAAAGUAUGGCAAAAUUUCAUAAAUUAAUAUCUACCCCCUUUGAAAAGUAUUGAAAAGGAUAUUAUGAAGAUUUUUCACUUCAAGGGAUAUUUGUGAAUUUAAAAUUUUGAAUAGUGUGAACGAAACAUUUUGAGCUUUUUUGAGGUAAAUGUAAACGAAACUGUUCCUAUUGACCGUGGGAGAUAUAUAGUACACCCAAUCUAGUAAGUAGUAACUAGCUAGAUGCAUGUAUCCGAAUUUCUACAAUAACAUGCACUUUCAUGGCUAGGAAAUGUCCUUGUAAAAAUAUACGUGUAGAUAUAAAUGUAGUAGUCACGUCCUUGUAAAAAUAUACAUGUAGAUAUAAAUGUAGUAGUCCACUCCGAAAUUCCAAUAAUGUAGCUAAUAAAUAUUGUUACCGACCGUCCCUAGAGUAAGUGGCAAAGAAUUUGGUGGUUGGUGCCUGAAACUCAAAUUCGAUUCCUAGUUGAUUCACAUUUCUAGCUAAGUUUAUUUCUAAAUGAAAUAAACGAAGCGGCCGAGUAGCGUGCUAUCACUCUCUCUCAAAAAAAAAAAAAAAAUGCUCGCAAUAGACUUUGGGUGGCUUACAAUCCGAGCCCGUGCAAUUAUUUCAAAGUCAAAUAUACUUAGUAAAUUAAGAAAUAUUUCUUAAUUUGCAACAAGUUAACAUUUGAUUUUAAAUGCUUAUGCUUUCUAUUAAAUAUAUUGUUUCAUUCUUUAUUAAUUUCGCGUCAAAAAUACUGGGUGCCAUUUGUAAUCAACACAUUGUUUAAUAUUAUUAAGUUGAAAAGUUGAACAAGCAAUUACACUAGUAAAUUAAGGUGAUAUCUAACUAAUAAAUUGCCAAAGAUUUGAUCGACCAACCAUCGCUGUAACAUUACCAUAUUGUCUCCAGUUUUAAUGGAAGGAACAUUUGUUAGGAUUUCCAUAUAUUGUGGCCCAAUUAAUUAUAUUCAAAUCUGGAUUUCUAUAGAUAAAGGUCAAUCCUAACAGACAUAGAACUACUUGAUAUGGUAUAUUUUAUCCCUAUCCCAUCUAUUUUAAAUUUGAAUAGAAUCCUAAUCAGACUUUGAUGGGAAGUCGAUCUGGACUCUAUAUAAAGGGGUAUUGGUCCUGCCACCUUCUCAUACGCAUUCUGGUGAAGAAUUACCAUCGGUUCCACACCAUACGGCAGAAUGCCUGAGAUAGGGGGAGAAACCAAAUCACCCAAGUUCGGUUCGUGACUUUCAGAUCGUAGCCGGACUUUCAGCUUCCGCAAGAUUAAUCAAGAAUCACUUCUCUAUGGCGCUCUGUGAGUUAUCUUAUAUUCUUGUUUUGAUCCUGGAUUUUUGGUAUGUAUUUAUUUUCUAUUUAUUUUACAUACCGUGAUUUUCCAUCAACAUUCACUCAAAAAUAAUAUUGUCUCUUUUAAUUAAUUACCACAAUGCUUGAAUCUUGCUUGUCUACCACGUAGUGUACAAGAUGCAUCUUACUAUGAUUUGUGUCCGCAAUUUCUUCAACAGUAGUAGUCUCUUUUGUACUACUUUAAACUUAUCUUCAUUCGAUUAAACAUAAUUAUCAUUAACAACAUGUUCAGUUGAAUUACAUUAAUUAGAAGAAUAAAAUCAAGGAAAAUCAACGUGAUCUCAAUGCAUGAAUACAAGUAAUCUUAUCCCUUGAGCUUGCACAUGAAUAGCACAUGCCAAAGUCGUUGAUAUUUAAUUUGCAGGUAAAUUGCACCACUGUCCCUCAAAUUAUUGGAUGGGUCGUACAUACGUGCUUUAUCUUCGUGUCAUUAUAUUUCUUUGGUCUAACUUAUCUUCAUAUCAUCUAAUCUUUUAUGUUUAUGCUAUUCAAUAAAAAAAAGGGGUAGAAUUUAAUUACAACCAACUUAAGUAAGAAUUCAAGUAUUAUGUGUAAUAAAUUGAAAUUGAAACACUAAAGUAUGAUAUGUAUAUCAGUUAGUGGACCAUUGGUUGUAUUUUACGUCUUGUGAGCUAUGAAUUAGUAUUAACUAAUCAGCACGGGAACCGAUCGUACCUAGCGUAGUUGGCCAAAAAUUUGAUGGUUGGUACCUGAAGUCGAAAGUUCGUAGCCUAGUUGCUGACAUUUCUAACUUAGUUUCUUUCUUAAAAAUUUAAUAAAAGCAAACAGCUUGGUAUGUUUCACAGUAAAAAACAAAAAAAAAAUCAGCUCAAGAGAGGCAGUGGAAAAUUCAGACUUUUUUGUCAAUACAUUUACCGAUAAUAUUUUAUGAAAAUUGCUAAGUUGGUAAGCCAAAUAGAAUUAUAGGAUCCAAGAGUUUUAUAUUCUCUUCCUAGAAUCUAAACAAUUCUUAGAUUUUUUUUUUGUAUUCCAAAAAUAAGAGUAUAAAUAUAAAUAUUAAAGUUUUUAGCCUUUAUGUGAACAUGUUGUAAUAUUAGCAUUGCUCAUGUUUUAUAUAAGCAUUAUUAUUAUUAUUAUUUUUGAAUGGAAUUAAGCGUAAAUAUCCAAAGGGCUGCACAUGUAGAAGGAUAGAAAAGGUAAACGUGGAGAGAAAUGGCACAUAAUUAUUAAUUUUUUAAAAAAUGGGGAAUUGUUUUUGGGAAUAUUUUAUUUCAUAAAUACACAUUAAUAGAUGUCGGGCUCGUGGGUCCGAGGAUCGAAGCCGAAGGUAAUUUGGAACCACAUGACGGGCCCGACUUUGCCCGCACGUGAACCGAGGUUGACCACUUUUGCAUGUGUGGCUCUCGCACACGAUUCUGUCGUUGUAUAACUUUUUUUAAAAGAAUUUUAGGCAGUGUUUUAUUAUUAGGGAAUAAAAUUGCACAUAUCUAUUUUUGCACAUAUCUAUCAUUUGGAAAAUUGAAUAGCUAUCAUAAGAAAGUGAUAUUGAGAGAUUCGAUUUUGAUAGGGAUAUAAUUAGAUUCAAUAAAUCUGAUCAAAUUCAUUGGGCUGAGCAAAUUUNGAUUCAUUCUUAGUGCACUUUAUUUUGAAUUCUUUGCCAUCUGAAUACGGACCAUUUCAGAUCUCUUAUAAUACACAUAAAGAUAAAUGGUCAAUUAAUGAACUGCUGACCAUGUGUGUGCAAGAGGAAGGCAGAUUAAUACAAGAGAAACAAAAUGCAGUCAACUUUGUUUCUCAUAAGAGACAAAUAAAGCAUGCUAAGAAUGGCAAGGGUAAGAAUGACUCAAAAAGGAAGAAUAAGAAAAUUUCAUCUGGUUCACAAGACCAAUCAAGUAAGUGGAUUCCCAAGUGCUUCUUUUGUAAGAAAAAGGGUCAUAUGAAGAAAGACUGUCAAAAGUAUCAGAAAUGGCUCCAGAAGAAAGGUAAGUUUCUGGUUUUAAUGCAUGAGCUGCAUUUAGUUUCAGUUCCGUCUAAUACUUGGUGGAUUGACUCUCGUGCUACAUGCCACGUGGCGAAUUCCGUGCAGGGAUUUCAGAAUCGGAGAAAACCCCGUAAAGAUGAAGCAACUAUCUAUACAGCUGAAGGAAAUCCAACUAAAGUAGAAUUUGUAGGAACAUUUAGAUUAGUUCUUUCUACUGGUCACCUUUUGGAUUUAGUUGAUACAUUUUAUGUUCCAAAUUUUUCUAAGAAUUUAAUUUCUGUUUCGAAACUUGUUGGACUGGGAUAUAGUUUCAGUUUUAAUAAUAAAGUUUUUUCUUUAUUUUAUAAAUCUCAGAUAGUUGGCUCUUUUUUUUUUUUUUUUUUUUUUUUUUUUUGUCAAUACCAACAUCAGAUUAGUUAAUAGCAUUGCCACUAGUGAAAGUUACACUGUAUCUAUUAUUCUUUACAAUCCAGAUUUGCAUAUACAAGUUACGCCUACUAAAAUGGCAAUUUUAGACCCUAACCAAAUUCAAUAUAUCAAUAUUUAUCAAUAAUAAUUUUAAAUUAAUCUGUUAAUAUUGCUGCCUUUUUUAACAUGCUUAGAAACUUCAUAUACCGUUCCAUAGCCACAAACAACGACACAUAGUGGGAGAGUUAUUGGAUUAGUUUACAUUUUUUGUUUCUUUCCUUUCUUUUUUUUUGCCCCUUCUCAAAACAACAAUAUAAUUAAUCUUGUUAAUCUAUUGGAGUAUUUAGUAUUUACGGUCUUUAAUUGUGACUCUUGGGGAUUCAUUAUAGACAUGUGGAUUCAAUCCAUUCGAUGUGCAUGGGUGGCAUCCAUAGCUAAGUUAAUAUGCAUGUCUCAAUACAAAUUAAUAACUAAUUAUUAUAAUUUUUAGCUUCUUAAGAAACAAAAGGGACGCAUCAAUCUCAAAAACCAAUCACGUUACGUACCCUUGUUAUUGCUAUUUAGGUUUUUUGAAUUACACCACGCAAGUCUAAUCUCUAGGUGUUAUCUGUAUUAAUUAGGUGCCUAUGAUUGGCACAAAAAAUAUAGUAGCUAAAUUAUGAUCACAUUGAGAACCUCAAGAAUCGGUGUACGUAGUUCACCCCUAUUAGUUUAUUGGAACCAAAAGAAGCCGCAUUUAAUGUGCCUACUAUAUAUUUAUUUAUUACAUAGAGUGUUACAACUUACCGAGUUCAUUUAACAUACAAGUCCACUAUGGUUGGAUGCUUGAUGUGGCGCGUUCAUACAAUGUUUUCCUAAAGAAAUUACAUUAACCUACAUCCACUCCUUCAGAUGAUGAUUAAAAAACAACAAGAUAUAUUGGUUUGCUGGAAAUAAAUUUACUCUUUUGUGUUGGAAAUAGUAAUUCAAACUUAGUUGGAAUUUAAUUUGAGAUUUAUUUAAAUAGUUUUGCCGAGAUACUUAGUUUAGAUUGAGUUUUGUCUAAUUAUUAGCAAAAAAGUUUAUAAAUCCAUAGCACGAUAGCUAGGGUUUGUCCAUAUCUACGAGGACUUCAUAUAUAGCUAUAUAUACAGAAUAAAAUAUUAGUUCAAUUAUUGACCGUCUCUGAAGCAAGUGGAAAAGAUUGAGCUUGGUAGUUGGUACCCGAUAUACCAAGUUUGAAUCCUAGUUGAUUCACAUUUCCAACUAAAUUUAUUUUUAAAUGAAAUAAACGAGCCCGUUGUCAUCCCCUUUUUUUUUAUGAUAGAGCUUUCAAAUUGACGACUGGUACCGUUGAACAUGAUCUAUACCAUUUGAAGUAUUUAAAAAUCAAAUUUUUUUCGACAUCAUUAACCUAAUGAUCAAAGGGUUUGAAAAGUUAUAAUCUUGAUGGCCGAGACAUUUUUUCGUUUAACACUGUAAAAAUAUCCAAAUUAAUUGAAUCUUUGUUAGAAGAUAUGAGGCGUAGUUUAGUUAUUGACCGCCUCUGGAGCAAGUGGCAAAUGGCUUGGUAGUUGGUACCCGAUAUCCCAAGUUCGAAUCCUAGUUGAUUCACAUUUCCGAUGUCCCAAGUUCGAAUCCUAGUUGAUUCACAUUUCCAGCUAAAUUUAUUUCUAAAUGAAAUAAACGGACCUGUUGUCAUCCUUCUUUUUUUUUUACGAAAAACUUCAAAAACCCCCCCUGUGGUUUCGUAGUUUUUCACUUUGUCCCACUGUUGUUUAAAAUGUAUCAAUUUGCCCCCCUAUGGUUUCUUUUUUCUCUUUUUCUUCUCAAUUUCAUUAUUUUUUUUCUUAAAUCAGUGAUAAAGUUAAUUUAAAGGGUACUAAAGUGAAUAUUUGAUAAAUCUAGAUGGGUAUCUCAAGUUUUUUGUAUAUAAUUUAAUGAAAUAUUAACGAAAAAGCUACCGAAAAGAUAAAAACGAAACCACAGGGGGGCAAUUUGAUACAUUUUAAACCAUGGGGGGUAAAGUGAGAAACUACGAAACCACAGGGGGUUUUCUGAAGUUUUUCCCCUUUUUAUGAUAGAGCUUUCAAAUUGACGACCGGUACCGUUGAACAUGAUCUAUACCACUUGAAGUAUUUAAAAAUCAAAUUUUAAAGUUUUACGACAUCAUUAACUUAAUGAUCAAAGGGUUUCAAAAGUUAUAAUCUUAAUGGCCGAUAUGAGAUAUUUUUUCGUUUAAUAGUGUAAAAAUAUCCAAAUCAAUUAAAUCUUGGUUAUAAGAUAUGAGGCGUUUUCUUGUUUAACGGUGUUAAAAUAUCCAAAUCAAUUGAAUCUUGGUUAAAAAAUUCUUUAAACUAUUUAGAAUAAGAUCUAUACUCUCGAUCUUAAUUAUAAGAAUUCUAUCAUUAUUUUUUAAAAGAUAUCCAUUUUCAGCCGUUCAUUUUGUGUCCACCUGAUGGACAAGAGAACAAUAUUUGAAAAGCAUGAAAUUUAAUUUCUAAAUACUUCAAGUGGUAUAGAUCAUAUUCAACGAUGCCGAUUGUCGAUUUGGAGUCUCCAUUAUCGAAAAUAAAUGAAUAACAACAAAGCCUGUUUGCUACCGAUAGCAUUGCACCUCAACUCUCUCUCUCUAUAUAUUUAUAUAUUCAUGCAAAAUGGCCAACAUAAAUUAAAUACUUCGCACUCUUGUGCAUGUACAGUACUUAAUUGCAUCAUAUCACAAGUAGCCAAGCACUAAGGGACUGUGAUCACCCUCUUGUGUUUCAUUAAUUAAGUUGCAAUAUAAUUAACCACACCUAUCCAAAUAGGUAGCCUAAGUUGAGCCUAGCCACAUGACACUCAUGCACACGUGUUCGUACUGUUCUUUUAAUUUGAACUAAUCCAACAGAACGUACCGAGAUUCAUGCAUUGGCCACAAACUCUCUCCACAGUAACAUAAAACUGUUACUGUGGAGAGAGAGAGAGAGAGAGAGAGAGAGUUUGAUUUUGUUUUAUAAUUAAAGAAGAACAUCUAGGGCUCGAUGCUAUAUUGACCUCUUCUUAAUUGAACACUUAGAGACACGCAAGGAAGAGUUUUCUAUACAUGGCCCCAGCCAAUUAACAGAAAAAUAUUCGAAAUAUAAAUAAGCCAAAGUAAGGGUUGGCCACAAGAGCCACGAAAUUAUUGUCGGGACGCGGCGUAUCUGUACAUUUCAUUUGCUGUUUUAAAAUCAAAAUCUAAUCCAAAGGGUACAACUUAAAAGAAUCUGAAGAGUCUAUGCAUUAAAAAUCACAAUGUUUGAAAUCUAUUACUUAGACAUUAAACCAAUUAAUAGUACCAAAAAUCAACGGAGUACAAAGAAAAAGAAUACAUUUUUUUUGUCACAAAAAAGAAAAAAUCAGUAUCUCAAAAUUUAUAACUCUAAAUAUUUAGAACUUUCAAAUAUAAUAUAAUAGAAUACAUGAAAUUGGAAUUUUGAUCUCUUUAUAGUAGAGUUAUAUAUAUAUAUAUAUAUAUAUAUAUAGAAAACGAGCUAAGUAAUAUAAAUUAUAAAACUAUUUGUCACAGGAGCCAGAAAACAUGGUCGUGUUGUGUGGGGCUCGACUCGACCAAUCCCCACCCGAGUUUGUCGAAUUUGGUGAUUUUCUCGAUUUGUCCGUUUUAGAUGGUCUUAUAUAUGCGUUCGCUGCGCCUCGGCAUCUCCAGAAUAUUUUUGGCGUUAUUAGGGGCUCUCUUUUCUAAUUAUUUGCCACUUAAUUAUAUUUAAAUAUAUAGAUAUUUAUGUGUGUGUGACAUGCAUCUAUAUUAGUGUGUGUGUGUGUGUAUAUAUAUAUAUAUAUAGCAAAUUAAUUCUCCGGGCCCUAUCAUGUACACACUAGCCUCGCGAGUGUUAUGAUUGAUAAGGUCUACAGCUCGCACUCACACCAUAAAUAGAUAUAAGUAGAAUCUAAGCUAAGUAAUUAGCUCCCUCUAUAUGAUUUGCAUAAAUCACGUGAUAACAUUAAUUUUGUUCUUCAGAUUCUACUCUUAUCGAUCUAACCGAUGAAAAAUGAAAAUAUAUUUACAUCAUUACUAGCUCCUUUUUAUUAGCAGAGUUCAAGAUAAGAACUUUCCGAGCAAUCGCCUAAUUCACUAUCCCAAAGUGCUUUGCAAAUCCCUAAUCCGUUAACUAAUAACGCACUACAAAGUGUGAAAGAAAAAGAUAAGAUAAGAUAAUAGAUGAACGGCCACGCCGUACGCCAUAUUCUAAUGUAAAUGCUAUAUAUUGCUUCAUUUUGUUAUGAGUUCAUUGACAUGGGUUAGUAGUGCGUGCAUGUUUUUCUAGUACUUUUGUCAAUGCUCUAAUAUUAAUGCAUGGUCCAUUUUAGCAAACACCAAAUCGUGUUUUGAGAAUCCGUGAAUUGGGUUAAAAACAAAACAAAAAAAAUAAAUUAAAAAAACAAAACAGGAACAAAAUAUUCUUUCCAGGAUGAGCUCAAUCCAAUCAUGGGGUGCAAAAUUAUUAACUUUGAAUGAGUUCACAGGCUCACGAGCUACUUUGAGUUUGUGUUGCUUAUAGAUCCCAAUUGUCUUAAUUAUUACAUGAUUUUUAACUUAUUGUAAUUAAGUAGGGAUCAGAGUGCGACAAGAGAGAGAUCUCAAUCACGCAUGCGUCCUCUUUGUUUUGGUCAAUACCACAUUAUGCUCAUUAACCAAGCUUACUAGCCAUUCCUCGAUCUACUUUCCUAAACAAGACUAAUCCUCUCUUCGGGAUUAUGGAAAGAUUGUGUUACGCGCAGUAAAAUAAUAAGUUAGAAAAAUAUAUCCGAUUUAUUUUAGCAAAGAAUAUGCAGUUAACUGUCAUUCUAUCGUAAAACGGAGAACUAUACCUCUACGUGCUUUCCCCCAAACUCCCUUUUGUCCAAUAAUAUCAUAUGGACCUCAAUACCAAAAGAAUUCUAACUCAAAUGAAAGAUGAACUAGAAAUAAAAUUGAAACUCAAUUUUAGCCCCUCAUCACUUUUGAAAUAAAAAAGACCAGUAAAUAAUGACAUAACUAGUGGAAUAAAGUCCAGCAUUCAUUUUGGGUUCAAGUCACGCUUCAAUCAUAAAGUUAUGCGUCAUGCAUGCUUGCAUGGAAGUUUCUUGUUAAAAGAUAAAAUUUUUUUUAAAGUAUCUUAUUUUUUAAAAUUAUGAUCUAUUUUGACCCAACUGCAUGUCUAAGGUAUCUUUGAUUUAAACUAUUUGAAGACAAUUUUGCCAUAAACUCUGUGCGCAAAUGUGCGACAUUUUCUAAUCAAACAUAUAUAAGAAGGUAUAUCCAAGCUCUGAAGUAAUUAAAUACAACAACCACCAAAUAAACUCAAAUUAAGCGAAGUAAAACAUUAGAUAAACCGACCGUCCCUAAAGCAAAUGGCAAAGAGCUUGGCGGUUGGUACCCGAGACUCAAGUUCGAAUCCUAGUUGAUUCACAUAUCCAGCUAAGUUUAUUUCAAAAUGAAAUAAACGAACCGGGUAGCGUGCUACCUAUCUCUCUCUCAAAAAAAAAAAAACAUUAGAUAGCUUAUUGAUCAAUACCUUUUAAGUAUCAAUCAGAUCAAAACAUAUCAUAGUUACAGCAAAUUCCAUAAAAGUUUUCCCCAAAAUUUUUUUAAAAAAAAACAAAAACACUUGGGACGAGGGAGAGGAAACAAAAAAGACGAAUCUUACACAGAAGAGGCCAACCAAUGAGGGGGUGGACAAGUGGGGUCCGUGUGAUACGGGGAGAAUAAGAAAACGAUGGGGGUAAUGUGUGUGUAUACGUUUGUAGUUAGGAGUCGGCUAAAGCUUUGUUGCAUGCGUCGUUUGAAGCGACACAAACACACACAUCUGUAUACAUAUAUACGUAUAUUAUACAUAUAAUAUAAUGUGGGGAAUGUUUUUAUUUUCCACUUCAAAUGCACAGUCAAAAAAACGACGGAUCUUGUCCACUUGUUCGUUGGGCCCAUUCCACCACUCUGGCCCAGGCCCGCUCUCUUAGGCGGCCGAAUUUAAUACCCUUAAAUUAAGGGGGUUUUUUAUUGCAUGUUAGUCCUUGGAAACUUAGUUUUUUACAUAUUGGCAUUAUUUGGGUGUGGGAAUUAGGGGAUGUUUAGUUUCUCGGACGAGCAAUGUCUUGGGAUGUCAACGGGUCGGGUUAGGAUCGGAUUUUUAAAAAUCCGAACCCGAACCCGAAAACCAAAUUAAAAUCCGUACCCAGACCAGAACCCGGCGGGUUUUAAAAAAUCGUAUCCAUAUCCGUACCAAACCAAAAAUUCGAAACCCGAACCCGGACCCAAGCCCGGCGGGUUUUAAAAAUCCAUAUCAUUGAAUGAAGAUCUAAGAGAUAAAAAUUAUUAAACAUUUUAUAUAUUAUAUAAAUAAAUAAAAAUAAAUUUAUGUAUAUAUAUAAUUUAUUCGGGUUCGGGUCGGGUUCGGGUUCGGGUUGGAUAAAUACAAAAUCCAUAUCCAUAUCUAUAUCCGUCGGGUUUUUAUUUUCUAUACCCAUAACCGAAUCCAUACCCGUUUAGCUCGGGUAAACCCGCCUCAUUCGGGUUCGGAUAAUAUUUCGGGUAUCCAUACCCAUUGACAUCCCUAGCAAUGUCAACUCGUAUGCCAAAAAAAGGCUGUAUAUUUUACAUCUUCAUAUCCAAAGGCUCAUAGUGAAUCAUUGUGUUGUCAAAAUUAAUUAUUGUUAAUUUUAAAUACUAAAAAUUUAAAUUAUUUUAGAAUUCUAUCUAGGAUGAACGGGUGUGAGAUUUACACUCUCUUUUUGGUUAUACUAGUAGCAUUUAUCUUCUCAAACAAAAUAUUUAAAACUAUCUUUUACGAGAAAAAAAUUUCAGGAAAAACAUCAUUUAUCGCAAAUUUUGUUUUUUAAAUAAAAAAUUUAAAUUAGAAGACACUACCUUUUCAUGAAAUUUAUAAGAAACUUUUUUAGAAAAAAAUGAUUUUUCUAGGAACCAAACGGCCGGAAAAUACUUUUUUGGGAAACCAUACAUGCCCUAAGUUAUCUAGUAAUAACUUGCUUUUAUGAAGAUUCUAUUUUGUGUAAGAAACUAGAUGUUUGAUUUUUACUCCUUAAUUAGAAAAUCUUAGUAUCGAUGAUUCAAUAGAAUAGACGCAUAUUUUGGCUACAAAGUUAUUUAUCUUAUUUCGAGAAAAUAACGCAAGAGUUGCGGUAAGAAAUUUUAGACAUUUGAUCGCAGUUUCAUUUGUCAAAUUCAAAAACUUUUUGUGUACGUAAAGCAAUGAGUUAUGCUGAUCGAACAAGAUAUUUAUGCAUCAAAACAACAUCAUAACUUUGUCGGAACUCGAAAUUUGUGUUGUACAUUUGUUGCCUAUUUGUUUUAUUCCCUUUAAGCUAAAUUUAUAAAACAGAAAAAAAGUAACUUUAAAACCAAUAGAGCCCUAUUGACUUAUUAGGGGAGGAACUAUUCAAUUAAUAAAACAAAUUUUGAAGGACCCUUAUAUAAAUACCAAGUUCUAAUUGUGCAACUUGUAUGUAUACAUGCAAAUAUCUAAAUAUGCUGGGGACUAUAAUCUUAAAAACUUUUAGUUGCAUAAGUUACUGAAAUAACGACACCAAAUGGUCCAAAUCUAGUAAUGUAUUUAACAUUCAUAUAUUAGUUUUUAAAGGCUCAUUUAUUCUAAUUAAUAAGGUGGAAUUAUUGUUUAAAUGUGGUCAUAAGACCAGUCCACUCGAAGUGCAUGGCAUACGCUUUAAAUGGCUAUAGAAAAAUAGCAAAAAUAUAAUCCUAAAAGGCUUAUUUGUCGCUUCAUGCGUUUAUAUAAAGAUUCUAAAUAAAUUAGUAGUUUUCGUAUGGUUUUACUGUAAAUUUACAUACUAAAGUUUGAUCUUCAUUUUUAUUUCCAUUCUUGUUGUUUAUAUGUUACAGUAUAGCUUUGAUUAAAUCCUUUUUGUAUGUAUCAUUAAAUCUCUAUGUUAAGUAUCAUUCUUAGAGUUUAAUUGUGAGGACAAAAAAUAAAGUUCGGUUCUUAAAUUGUUAGUAUUUAUGGACAGAAAAUCGUGAUAAAAAAAUUAAAUUAAUAUUAAAUGUGUAUUUUUGAUUAACACUAGUAAAUAUCCCCUCUCGAAAAUUAGAAGAAAAGUUCUUUUUUUUUUUUUGUAAUUAGAAGUCCGAAUCAACUUUUUCUUGCUAAUUAAGAAUAAUAAUUCUAUAUGAGACAAAAAAAAAAAAAUUAAUGUGUAUAUACGCUAUUGCUUUUUUUUUUACUCAUAAAUUUAAUCUUUUGAGUUAGUUUGUACCUUUUUUAUUAGUCAAAUAGUUUUUUCUUUUAUCCUGCCACCACCCGAUUUUGAUUCGACGGUUGAGACAAGAGCUUCUUAUAUAUUGUGUAUGCAAAACUGAGACAACCUCUACUACCAUAUCUACACAGUGGUGUUAUUUGGCAAUUUGCCAAAAAUGGUCCCCCAGCAUCUUCAACCGUCCAAUUAGUCCAUCAAAUAGAUCGAAUGCCUAGAAAGCAUCUGGACCGUCGGACACUAAGAUCAUAAUCUAUAGUAAAUAUCAGUGUUCCGACCUUUAUGAUUGGCAUACAUUGUAUCUAACGGUAGAGACAAGUGAUACGGUCAUAAUAUCUAUGUAAAGAUACGGUGCAAAUACAGUAUAAUAUUUAUUUGCGGAAACAAGAAAUUAUUGCGUGCAUCGUGUGUAUAAUUACAUCUCAUACACCGUACAUUAGAAUCCAACUAUAUACAUGCUUCAAAAUCAGAAUCUUAUUUAUUCAAUUUUUCUACAACAUUCGGAAGGUUUACGAAUGAAAUGUUAUACAUUUUCAUCUCAAUUUCUUAUUAAUGUAACAAUAUCUACUGUUAUUUUUUUUUUUUUGGGGGACGUUUUUGGACUACUAAAUAAUGGAAUCAAGUGGUUGAUGUGGUGCAUGGGAUACAUGAGUACACUGGGUGCAUGAAAUAAUUUCUCCCGGGAAUGGGCGCCAAAAAGCGACACGCCCGUUACGUAGUAGAUUUUAAUUAAUUUCUAUGCAAGUGUGUUAUAGCUCACUCACGCUCCGUCUAUUUAUUAUUUUGUCGCUAUGAUUUAUAUUUUAGCACGAUUUUUCAUGUAGAUUUUUAUGGUAACCUUUUUUUGUGAACUUACGGAAAUAUCCUUGAAAUAAUAAAAUGGUUUGUAAAUAUUAAAUCAAAUUAGAUUGGGUAAUUUCCGAAAAGUAAAAAAAAUAAAAUAAAAAAAAGGAUUUAGGUGUUUUGUACACGUCAGCAUCUGAGGGAGCAAGUGGGGAGGUGAAUAUAAUAAAGCUGGAGAAACAGGGAGCCGUACAAAUUCACCAGGGUUAAAAAAAAGGUGUGGGUCCCACACCCAGCUGUAAAAAUUAAGUUUAAUAAAAUAUGAAUUGAUAAUAUUUUAUUUUACUAAUCCACAUGAUUACAGUAAUUUUGGAUAAAUUAAAUUUGUUUUUUAACCUCUUACUAUUGGGAGCAUGGGGUGUUUCUCAAACUUCAUAUUAUACAUACAUCUUAUAAUCAGUUGAUUUCUAUUGAAGUGAUAUGUUACGAAGUUCAAUUUAACUGAAAAAACAAAGUAUAUAUAUUAUGUACCAUUUCUCUUUAAGAAGGGGUAGUUCAAGUUAUUAAUGAUAGAAUUGAAAUAAAUUGUAAAAGAGGUAAUUUAUUCUUUCCAAUAUUAAGUAUUUGGAUGUGCCAAAGUAACUAGCACAUCAUUUUGGAAGUAAACAUAAUUUAUUAAAAUAUUAGAGAAUUUUACAAUUACUUUUCUAAAUGCACUAUUUAGACAAUAUUUUGUUAAGCUGUUAUCAAUUAGGGUCAACCAAACAUUAAAUUAUGGUAGAGUUUAAUUUACUGUUGUUUCUCUUCUUUCUUUUUUUUUCUUGUUUGAUCCUAAUUUAUAUGCUCACUGUAACAAAAACGGUUUAUAGCGACCCUUUUAAAUGUCGGUAUAGGUUAAAAAAAUUGAUGCUGACUAAAUUACCGAUACUGUUAAAAAGUAUUGCUAUAUGUGAGGUCGCUAGAUAUAUAGUGACAGUUAAAAAGUGUCACUAUAACCUAAAAAGAGUGCUGCUAAUUUAGUAACACUUAUUUAAACAUUUAGCAACCGCCAGAACUCUAUCUCGUUGGCUGCAAUAGCGUAGGAGGACGAGAGAGAAGGGCUCUUCAUCUAGAAUUUCAGUGGAUUGAGUGAGGGGAGAAGGAAAGAUGGUAAUCGAUUUUUCUUUUUUUUUUCUUUUAUGUUUGUAAUCGGGCCAAAUGGGUUGGGUGGGGUGCGUUGAGUAGAGUAACCUUUUAUUUUUUUGUUGGAUUCGGCUUUAUAUUUAAGUAUUAGUAGAUUUUGUUUUAAGUUCUGACAUAAAUGAGACACUUAUAUAAAAGUAUUCCAAAUAUCUGUCCCUAUAAUCUAAUUCUGUUGUAGUGACUACCAUUAUUAGUAAUUAUUAAGUCGCAAAUUUUACUGUAGAAAUUAUUACACUACAUUGAAAACUAAAAUUUUUCAUUUAAAAAGAUAAAUUCUUGAUUCUCUAUUCUGCACAAUAUUACGUGAACCAAAUGAUUAAUACCGCGAAUAUCGCAAGAAAUAAAUAAGCAAUCAUCACCGGUAUGUGGCAGAGCCUGAACAGACUACUGGUGAAAAUAAACAACCACAUUUAAUUUUAAUUCUUAGCAUGUAUGUUCUUGAUCAAUCCCAGAACGUAGAAUAACAACUGGCGGAUGCCUGGAAUCCAAGAUUGCCAUACACUUAAUUGAGGAAACAAAAAUUAAUUGUUAAUUCAUUCAAAAUUAUUCAAACUACAAUAUUAAAAUUCAUCACAAUAAUUCUCAAGCUCUAGUUAAAGUCCAUAAAAAAUUUAAUUAAAAUGUUUUUUUCAUAGGUUUUAUGAUAUAAAAGUUUAAAUAUUUACAUAUCAUAUUUAUAUAAUUUUACUUAGUCUUUGAAUAUCAAAAUAAUUUUGAAGAUACCAAUUUUUCAAAGUUGAAAAAUAUGCUUGAUAACAAAUUUUCGAUUGAAAUUAUUAUUUAGAUUUUAUGAAAAACAUUAGUUUUCGUUUUUCAAUGCUUUUAUCCAGCAAACAAAAACCGUGAAAAAUAAUAUUUUUUGUGAAGAUUGUUUUCUUAAAAGAUAAUUUUUUAGAAUUUGUCGAGGAUCCAAAUACACCACCUAAACUAGCUCAAAAGUUUUUCAUAAACAAAGAAUUACGCAAGGAUUUUUUUUAAAAAAAAUUUAUUUAAUUUAAAUGUGAAUUAAAUUUGAAAUAAAUAAAAAGGAACACUGAGGAGUUGCUUAACCCAAGGAUUUGACUAUUCUUAGUACUGUUAUUAUCUGAUCACGUGCCCGGCACACUCCCAAAGAGCGUUGCCUCGGGGCUUGCGCCCGAUCCUAGUCAGCAGCAGGGAACGCUCCCCAUUGGUCAGAGCCCAGGGCCCUACCUCGCCAGCUGGUGCUAUACGACUGGUCGCUGUCCGGAUGCGGCGGCUCGUGUCGCCCCCAGAUUUUUAUUUUUAUUUUUGGCAGUCCCCAUUUUCCGAUUUUUCGCAAAUUUUAAAAAAUAAUUUGGGGGAGAAAAAGAAUUUUAGAGGGAAUUGUAGGGGCAAAAUGGGAAACCAAUAAAAGCGGGAAAAAAAAGGAUUAAUAUGUAAUUAAAAUUAAAAUUGUUAUUACAAUAAUAACCCUGAGUUUCCGUAAUAAGCUGUUGACGAUCCUAUAAAACAGCCGUUUCCCGGAGCAAGAGCAACCCCCCUCCUCUCUCUCUCUCUCUCUCUCUCAAAAAAAGAGCUUCUCUCUCUCUCUCUCUUCCCCUAUAAACGAGAGGUCCCUCUCUCUCUCUCUCUCUCUCUUCUUCCCCUUGAGCUUCUUCUUCUACUUGUUUCUUACUCUCUCUCUCUUUCUCUCUCUGUCUCUCUCUCUCUCUAUCUCUUAUUGGUUUGCUUGUAUACGGAGAACAGUGGUUUCUCCCAACAUAGUGAGAGGACACGCUGAGCGUUCUCUGUGGAGCUCUGCCAUAGUAGUAGGGGCUGUAGAGUACGGAUAACGCCUCAACCCUUGUCUCCUUUUUCUCUUUAAGGUAAGGAAAUGCUCCCUUUUUCAGUCUCCAAUCUCUCUCUCUCUCUCUCCUUUCCUAGAAAUUGCUCUUUCUCUCUCUCUCUCUCUCUCUGUUUCUCUCUUUCUCUAGAGAGUCGGAAGAGUCCGUAGAGCUUUGUUUGGGUGUCGCCCUAAAGGCUUUCGUGGAAAUUUCGCUUCUUUGUUACCAUUUGAUGCUUGCUCUUGUGUAAAAAUCUCGCCUUUUUUUGGUUUUGGGGGUAUUUUUUGUUUUUUUUAAGUGGGGGUUUUACCUUUUUCUCGCGUGUUGGGUAUCAGAGGAAUAUGUUCUUUCGGAAUCUGUUAUUCUUUUUCUUUUUCUUCUUUGUGGUAGUGGUUUUUGGGUAAAGUUUGGAUUUUUAUGAAGAAGUUUCUAAUGUGUAUGUGUUGAUUUUUGCGAAACAGGGGAAGCGAAGGAGAGAGAGAGAGAGAGAGAGAGAGAGAGAGAGAGAGAGAGAGGUUUUGGUGAGGAUUAGCAAAUGCGAAUAGGAUGAUGGGUGAGACGAUGAUAGCGACGACGAUGGAAGGGAGUAGUAGUAGCAGCAGCUUCGUGGAGACCGUCAUUAUGCGCACGGAGCACGUCGACGUGACCUCGAAGCCGCUCUCGUCGCGUCCCCGGGCGGCGCGGUCGGGGCACCGCCCCGCGGCUCCGAGGACGGUGAGGGUCUUCUGCGACGACUACGACGCCACGGACUCCUCGGGCGACGAGCACGAGGGCGCGCACCGCCACCCCCACCGCCGCCGCGUCCGCCGCUACGUCCAGGAGAUCCGGCUCGAGCCGCGCCCCGCCCGCUCCGCCCCGUCGCCCGCCGAGGGGGCGAAGGCUAAGGCCGAGGCGGGAGCGCGGAAGCGGAAGCCCGCUGCGGCGGCGGCGGAGGAGGCGGGCGGGGCGCCGCGGUUCCGGGGGGUGCGGCGGCGGCCGUGGGGCAAGUACGCGGCGGAGAUCCGCGACCCGUGGCGCCGCAUCCGCGUGUGGCUCGGCACCUACAACACCGCCGAGGAGGCCGCGAAGGUCUACGACUCCGCCGCGAUCCAGCUCCGCGGCCCCCACGCGACCACCAACUUCUCCACCUCCCCCACCACCACCGCCAGGGCACCACCCCCUCCAAGGAAGAACCUUUCCUCCACCAACCUCUCCUCCUCCCUCGGCUACGACUCCGCCGAGGAGUCCCACAACGUCUCCUCCCCCACCUCCGUCCUCCGCUCCUUCCCCGCCUCCGCCGCCGCGGCGCCUCCGCCCCCUCCGCCGCCGCCGCAGCCGCAGCCGCAGCGCGAGACCGACGAGUCGGCGGCGGGGGUGUUCGCGCUCGAGCUCCCCGACGAGCUCGGCUUCUUCGCGCCCUUCGAGGACGUGCCCCUCUACGACGACUUCCUCGGCUUCGGCGCGUCGUGCGAGCCGAGCCUCCUAGCCGAGCCCAGGGGCGCCAGCUUCCUAGCCCACGGCGAGCCGGCCGGCCCGCUCCUCGGCUCCCAGGGGCUCGACCUCGGCGGGCUGACGUGGCACGCCGACGAGGACUACGACGAGUUCCGGGACAUCGGCGAUCUGUUCGCCCUCGACGAUCCGCCCCUCGUCGUCUGAGUUCGACGGCGCCGUUCUCUCUAACGGCGACUCGACGGCCAAUUUUGUAGCAGUGACUACCCCCAACCUCCUUUUUUCUUUUUCUUUUUCUUUUUUCUUUUUUUUUUUUUUCCUCCCUCCCCCAGUGUAACAACCCAAUGGAGCUUUCUAUUUAGUGUGUGGGGAUGGCAAACAACCCGAUUGACUGACCUGGAGAAUGACAGGAUCGAGACUAGAGAUGUUGUCUGGAGACCGGGUUUAGAGAAAUUCUUUUUCUUCGAAUUAAAGCGGGGUUAGGUUAUGGACAAGAAUUUGGACAAACUGGGUCAAUGUAGUUUCAUACUAAUNUUUUUUUUUUUUUUUUGGGGGGGGUUUUAAUGUUUUUUUUUAUUAUUUAUUUUUCAGCUAAUUAAUUAAUGUCUUUUCGGGUACCUAUUUUUACUGUGGAUUUUUAACAACCUCGCUCUCACGUGGCCAGUUCUCGAGCGGGUAAUAUUAACAUAGAAUCCGUGGGAUUAAAAUGAGGACACGUGGCCCCAUUUCACGCGUGUUAGUGGCGAUGUUAUGUGGAGCCUUUUGGUUCCCACGAGGGGCCUCUUCUCGAAGCCCAAUUUCUUGGUCCCGGUGUGACCACCACCCAAGCAAAAAAAAUUUUAAAAAAAUAAAAAUAAAAACAUGGUAUGUAAUGAUUUUAAGUGGAUUUAGUUUGUAAAUUUAGCACUUUUCAGUGUUCUGAAAGGGCUUAAUUGGGCCUUUUGUAGAAAGCCCAGUCAACAGGCUGUGUGACUACAAAACACCGCGCGUACAAAUACAAUUUUCAUACAUUGUGAUUUCGUAUAAAUAGACUUGUUUUAGAUGAUGUAAUAAUAACUAUCGAACUUGAUUUUGAUUCGAAGAACGCUGUACAGUGCAUGAAACAUAUAGAUACACAGAUAGAUGUGGGACUAAUUUCUCUUACAAAAUAAUAAUAAUAAUAAUAAUAAAAAAGGUAGUUACUCUUUUCUCGGGAGAAUGAUACACCAAAGGAGGGGGGUAUAUGGGUUGGGGGCGUGGCCUGCAAAUUUGCCUUUCUUGGGGGACUUUAUUGACUGAUAAUCCAAAGUAGAGGAAUUUAGUGCUUUAGAAAAUUUUUCAGAUGGUGAUAAUGCUAACAAAGCCAAACUAAAUAGCUCCAUGUAGCUCUGUCUCUCAAGUGGUGUUCUUCUUUUUGUUGGGGAGCUCUUUGUAUGGGAAUGGGCAAAGGUUUAUGAAAAAUCCCAAAAGGUGAUGAGGGUCCCUCUUCUUUUUUUUCAAAAAAAAAAAAAAUUUAUAUAUGUUGGUGUAGAUACGGAGAGAGCACGUGUGAACAGUUCUAUACGAAAAGAUACAUAGCAAGGUGUAUAUAUUCUUAGGCCUUUAUAAGUGAUUCAUUUCUUUUUGUAGAACUUUUUUGCAAAGCUUGUUACAUGUAAAAUAACAUGUUAAAGCAUGUUACUUUGUGCUUAUUUUGCAGGUUUGAUCUUCGCUUAAGGGCCUAUUGGACGCCGCUGUUUUUGUUUUUAGUCGUAAAACUAAAUACUCGUGUAACAUUGGGCUAAAAAAGAAACUCAAUAUUAUAGAAAGAAUCUAUUUAAUGUAAUAUUUAGGACUACUGAUAAGAUCACGCGCAUAUCGCAUGCUUCGGAAUAAGAUCAGUGCCUAUCUCAACCUCAGUAAUUUACUUAAUUAAUUAACAUCUUGGAUUAGACCAAGCGUAACUAAUAACAACUCCAUGUUAGUGAAAAUAGGAAAUAUGUUUUGGGGCAAUUUUGGUUGCAAGCAAAACAAUUCAGAGCAUUCUCAAGAGAGAGCAAAAAAAAAAAGAAAAGAAAAUUAUUGUAUUGCCCAAGAGAAUUUUUUUUUUUUUUUUUAAAAAAACACUCAUUGUUUCUUGGUGUUUAAUAAUUUACCUACAAUAAAUCUACCGAACUACUCAGUGCACUCAAAUGAUUUUGCUGAGUUGUCGUUUUUCUACUGGUCGGUCUAAGUAGCGUUAUAUUUUUUGUACCUUGUUUGUGAUAACUAAAUGAGAAGGUCCGUAUACGAAUAUCCCCCCGAUUUCCUAUUCGUGCUACAGGAAUCUUCUUACGUGCCUUUCUCUAACAUUCAUGAAACAUUUCGUACAAAAUUAAGUCCUUAUAAUAUUGAUUUUUGCAACAUUAGUCCUUCUUUAUAUCCUAAUAGAAUCAGGGAGAUUUUGUUUUUUUUUGGUUUGUGUGGUUCACAACCAACAUCGUUUAAAUCACUUAGGCCGUGUUUGGUUUCAAAAGAAUAAAUUGAAGGCUGAACCAUUCAUCACAAGGGACUCGGAACAAUCAAUGCCCUGCAAUUGUACCGUAACUUGUGAUUGCAUUGGGACCGCUCACAACCCGCCUCAUAUGGUCAGACCUUCAGGUAUGUUUGCAACUUCACGUAGUAAAUAGACGAUACCGAGUUCAGUAGAGCAAUACGCAAAUACAAAAAAGCUACGUGGUUGAAAGGUGAAAAAGAAAAUUGUGAAAUACCUCGGAGUAUGCAAAAAGUUGGAGCUAGAAGAAUUUUUUGAGAUGCAACUCUUUUGAAUACAAUAUUAAAAUAUUUUGUGAAAUCGAAAAUCAAAAAAAUUAUAGACAAUUCAAAAUUUUAGAAUUUAAAUAUCUUUUUUAAGUUGAGGUAAUAAAAUGCAAGAAAAGGGAAAAGAUCAAAACUUAAAUAGUAUUUACUUCAGCAGAAACUAUAUAACCUAGUGAAUUAAUAUUGAAUAAGCAAAUUUGAAGUUAAAAACCAAAAUUAAAUAGAGGAUCCAAAUGAGAUCUCCUCGAGGACAGAGGCAUUUGUACAUGUUGUCCCAUCAAUCUUUUUCAAUUUGUCCAUUCAAGGUAUUGGCUUUUAGGCGACAAAAAUGAAGCAAGAGAACGUUCUAAAAAAUCCUUUGUUUGGAUUUUUUUCCCCUUCUUUUCCCUGAAAUCGAUAAGCUUCAACUUUUGAUUUGUUUGACUUGUUCAACUCAAUCACCUUAGUAAGAUUAGGGUUUUUACUGAGCAAAAAGUUUUAAGCUCCAUUAUCAGAUGCAAUAUAUAUUCAUUAUUUUUCCAAUUAUAGACGCUUUCAUACGAUAGUAUAGUAGAGUGAGCCUUGCCAAUUAAUUUGAGAUGCGAUUACGGCGGAUACAUCAAAUUGGUAAUCCCAUAUUGCAGCAUAGUUUCUUCAUAUUGAACUACAAAAUUUAAAGGAAUGCAUGCGAUGUAUAUGUGUGUUGUGAUCGACUACGCGUUCCAGUAACUUCUAAUUUCCAAAGAUGCUCCACUCUUGUAAUCUUUUACGGAAGUACUACGUACUAGAGUUUCCAUCUUUCAUCUAUUUUAAUAAUUAAUUGAAUUAUUUUUAAUAUAGCUGAAAUUUUGAUAAACAUGUAUCCUUAAACUAUACUGUGCACAUUUUAAAAUUAUUAUUGGGAUUUUAAACAUUUUGACUUUAAUAACUAACCAUAGACUGUGCUCUAUUUUAAGUGCGCUCCAUUUAGAAAUUUAUGGCACUUUUUAACUUUUUACACACAAUAUUUGCAUCAUAACUAAAGAAAGUAAUGUUACUUAAUGAAGUAUUCUACACUUUUUUUAAAAAAAACAAAUAUCAAAACAUCUUAGCCAACAAAAGAAUUUUAAAAAUCGAGUAUCUAUUUCAAAAUACUCCCACGUGAACUCUACACAUUUAAUAUACUCAAAAUUAAAUUAAAGGGUGAUUAUUGGAUUCCCCACAAAUAUCUGAAACCAGUGCAAGUGCUCUCCUGGGAGUGAGAGGGACAAGGUAAUUUGGCAUGCACCAAUUUGUCAGAUGUUGCUCUCUUGGGUGAAGAAACCAUGUAACUAUGUAACCCUUUAUAACUAACAUUAAUCAUGAGAUUAUAUAUGUCUUUUUAUAAGUCUUGGGCACUUAUAUACAUCGAUAGGGUUUUCUCAUGUGGGUACUUCCUCAUCUUAUCAUUGGAUGCAGUACAUGUCUUAUAACAAACAUAAGAAGACACUUCAGGUUUUCAGGCUUAAUCAUUUGAUCAUACUGGGUGCAUUUAAAAUGUUAAUAAAUUUUGAUCAUCACAUUGCCUUUUGUUUUAGUUAUCAAUAAGAAAGUGGCUAGGCGAUGGCUCGAAGCGAUUAGAUUAAUUUUGAAAUAGGCUUAUAACUAAAUGAAAAUAUGCUCUCCCUGCAGGUGGUAUGAAAGCAGUAGGACUAUGAUGAUAAUCUGUGGCUUUUGUCUCGGAUUAGUUUGCGCAGUUUCGACAACUAGGCGGAGCAUUAUGAUAAAAGAAUAUGAUAAUGCUUCUUAGUACUUUUUAAGUCUAGUUUUUGGACAUUAUUUUCUUCUUACAUGCCUUUUCUUUUCAUCCCAUUAGUGGUAGGCAUGCACUCUGAAAAGUUAUGUAUGGAUUCAAUUAAGCCAGAAAAAAUUCAAUAGGGGCAUUGGACAUGUCGCGAAUCAUUGAUCUUAUUUCUCCUAAGGUUAAGUUGAGUUUGAAGUAAAAAGGCUUUAAAGAGAAAAACAGCCUAUUAAUAAGUUAUGCAUAGAAAACGCACCAAAUCGAGCCUUUUAGAGUAUAACCUAAAUAUUUCAAUAAUGAUCGUGAUCUAGUUGCAAACUUUAUAAUUGAUCAAUUCAUGCUGCUAGGCUAGCUUCAAUUGAUUUCUAUUAAUUUAUGUUUAUGCUGUUAAUUAUUUCAAAAAAUUAAUAAAAAAGGUAAAAAGAAAAAGGUGUACCAAAUUACCUAUGCAUCCUUGCCCCUCUAUAUAUAUACCACAGAAAUUUGAAUCUGGUCCUUGUAAAUAUGUCGGUGUAUACACGGAGUACAAUAAGUGCACACACGUGUAUAUAAUAUAAUUUUUGUACCCAUUACCUACCCAUGUAGGUUGUUUGGUACGUAUUAAUUAAUUGUAAAUGUGUAUGUAUAUACGUACAUAUUCGUGCACGCAUGUACAUACGUAUGUUUGUAAUAUGUAGAUAUAUAUGUCCGAAGAGAUAAUUGGGUGUCUUUGGUUCAUAGCUCAUGAAUGUACUAACCCUGCGUCAUUAGUUCGGUUUUUUUAAAAAAAUCAUGGUAAGUGUUCACACCAAAUGAUAAUUAUAUUUGCAAUAUUCACUAGUCUCUAUUUAUGCAGAUAUGGUGAUUUUUUAUGCAGUAAACCAAUUAAAUGAAGGAUAUUACAUUGGUUCCGAAAUACCAAAACCAAUGUAUGAUUAAAUAUACUUAACAAACGAAUGAGAAAUUUAUUCAGAGAUUCUACUCAAUGGUAAUCAUUGUUUGUGAUAAUUUAGGAGAUUUGUGGUCCUAAUUAAAGAAUCUAUUCUAUUGGAUGCUACUAAUAUUACUCUUUGCAUAUUAUCUUUUUAACAAAUUAAUAAUAGAUUUUUCAUCCCUCCCGGGCUCUCGAACGUGUCGUGUUUCUGAUCAAAUCUUGGACCGAAGUUCUGUGAACCUGGACUAUUACUUUCAUUCGUCCAUCUCCGUUUUUCCCUUGUAAACUUUUGUCCACCUCCGGGUUUUUUUUUUUUUUUUUUUUUUUUUUUUUUUUGCUAGCUUAUUUGGAGGCCCUAGCUGCUUCCACCAAGUACGCUUAGUUCAUUUUGCUUAAUGAAUGAAGCAGGUAGCUUGCUACCUAUUUGUCUAAAAAAAUUGUGUUGCAACAAAUUCUAGAUAACUUUACUUCAACACCUAAUAAAAUUGUUAAUUUUAAUUAUUGAGAGAUUGUUUCAAUUAAAAAAGACAGGAUAAUGAACACAAUUGGUGGGCCCCCAACUUUUAGUCUUACUUUUAAAUGGGAAUUGAUAUUUCUUAGCUAAACUCGAUAUUGUGAGAGCAGAUAUAUUGUAUUUAGUUAUAAUUUAGACUUUUUUGUUUUGAAUAAGUAUUAGAUUCCGAUUGAGAUUUGAUAUUUUUUAAAUUGAUCCAUCAAGCAUUAAUGUUUUUGGUGCAUAGUUAUAUAUAUCUUGAGCGAGAAAACUUUAAUCAAUUUCAUUUUCCAAUGAUUAAUUAUUUUUCUCCUUGGCUUCUACAAAUUGAAACUUUAUGGAACUCGAGAGUUGGCUAUUUGUUACUGGGCUGGGCUUAAAGAAACGGAUGAGUACACAAACAUGCAACUGGUGAUGUAAUGACAAAUUAUCCGGAUUAGGGUUUAAGUGAGCUAUGGAGAUCGUAACCACCUCUAGAUCAAAAUUUGACAUAUUGUUUGUAUACUGGCGCGCAGAAUAUUCCUGUAUACUAGUAAUUAAACUGGCUAUUCGAAAUACAAGGCAUAUUUGAACCAUCAGAGAUAAUCAAAUAGUUGACUGAACUUGCAAUUGAAAUGUAAGUUGCUUUCAGAUAAACGAACAAAAUAAUUAUUGUUGUGAAAAUUUUCUGCACAUUAGGUCUGCAAAGAAUGUGAACUGAUUUGUCAGAUGAUUUGGGGUCGCUAAUACGUGCUUCCUAAAAGCCAUGAUUGGAACUCGAACACACUUUUAUUGGGUGGUUAGUGUACUCUCUCAGUGUCCACUGUGCUUUUACAUAUCGCAACUCACAAACAUAUGAAAAUAUCGCAACUCACAAACAGAUGAAGUGAUAAGAAAUAUACUCUCGAAAUUAAGGGAGAAUGUUGAGCCAGUGGAAUGCAUUAUGCAUAUAUAGUCUUUCUGUCUCUGAGUUUUCGACAACUUUUGCUCGACUUGUUUGAUAAAGUUCUACAUAGAUAGUGUUAUCAGGAGAAAUACCAUAUUAGUUAAAGGUUUCGUAGUGCUUCAUUUUUCAUUGUAGAAGUGGAGGUCUUAACUGGAUAUAUGUUAUGAUUUUGAACCUCAAAAUGCAUUCUGACGGUUGCUACAUAAUUUUCGGUUUAGCAAACACUGAAUUAAAACAGACUAUAUAUAUAUGGCUGAAAGCAAAAAUAGAAUGCUCGCCUAUUAGGCACUGGUUUCUCAAACAUCUUUCUCACUUCCACAAACAAUCCACUUACGUAGAAAAAUACAUUAAAAUUUUGAAUUCUGACCUAAUUUGUCUACUUCUAUUAUAAUAAAAAAUUGCUACAAGAAAUCAACUUAAACGAUUCUACUGAAACAAUUAAUACUUUCGCAAAAACUCUAAUAAUAAAACAGACCAAAAAUGUCAGAGGAACAGAUAAUUCGAGCUAUAAUUCGUAAUAAGAAGAUGAUUUAAAUAAGUUAGACGAAUAGAACAGCUAGUGAGGCGGUAAAAAUUAAAAGUAUACAUUGUUUUCAUAUACUUAUUACCUUAUGAAAUACGUUAUAAUUAUUUUCUUACACCUUUUGGCUCUUCGCGACAUGCAAGUGCAAGUGCAACCCUACACAAGCACUGUACGAAUCGUUGCUGUCCUUAAACUGCUCGCAGAUGAUUAGAUUUGCUUCCCCAAAUCUAAGUCCCCUGUCCACUACGUGCACUGUAACACGUAAACCCCCAACCCCAUACACAAAAGAUCCAAAAACGCCUCAAAUUUUUCUCGGGUUUGUCACCUGAUCUCCCUCCAUGCAUGCAUCAAUCUCUUUCACCCAACUUCUCCCUGUGAGGAUGUCUCCGACAUAUAAUCGCACGAAAACUUAUCAGAAUUAUAGAAUAGUUUGAGUCGACUAUCCAAUCUUUUAAAAUUUUAAUUUUACUAUUUAAUUUUUUGAUCUCUUUAAUUUGAAUAAGUCAACGGCGGCGUCUUUAUAGAUUUAGUUAGUAUAAUUUGUAUAAUUUUUGCCACUAUAAAUUUAUUAAAGUGAAUGAUUAGUUUUAAAUUUUAAAGUCAAAAUAUCGUUUACCGACUCAAAUCAAAUAAAUUAAAAUAAUAGAUACUAACACCAAAAUUUUAAAAAAUUCAAUAGCCAAUUUAAAAAAAGUCUAAGUUAUGUAUAUUUUCACCUAUCUUGGAUUCAGAGGGGCAUAUUAAUUACCAUGUAUAAUAGGUCAUAUGUAGGCCAACAUUUCCAUUAAUGUAUCUACCAUUUUGCAGGUGCAUGUAUAUAUUUAGUAGUUGAGGAAAAAGAAGAACCACACAUGGAGAUACUGUGGUAAAACAGUAUCUUUCGUUGUUGUACUGUAGACAUUGGGAAUCACCCACAAAGAGAGAGAGAGAGAGAGAGAGAGAGAGAGAGAGAGAGAGAGAGAGAGUGUGUGGCAAAGAAUCCAAAAUUAACAGUACGCCACUUACCAAUCCCCACAAGGAAAAUGCAGUUUACUUCUCUCUCUCUCUCUCUCUCUCUCUCGUUAGGUAAUGCAAUAGAUACUCCACAUAUACCGACUAUUUUUAAGUUCGAAGUCUAAUUUAUUCACAUUUUUAACUAUAUUUAUUUAUUUAAAAAUAAAUAAAGUUAAUAACAUAUUAUCUUCUUUCAAUAAGAGAUACUCAACAUUUAAAUUUCGCCAAAACAAAAAAAAUCUGUGAUCGUUAUUUCUGUCGUUUACAUGACUUACAGAUUUGCAUUGUUUAUUUAGGCCCCGUUUGGUUAGGGAGUUAAGCGGGGAUAAUGAAAGUUAUCCCCGCUAUUUCGCCAAACGGGAUGAAAAUUGACCGGGAUAUUUUAUCCCAGUCAAACCUUGCUAUUCCCGGUUAUCCCGGGAUAGCAAGGAAUUUGUUAUUCCACUAUUUUGGUGGAAUAGCGCUAUUCCAAUGCUUAAUUUCAAACUUAAUUAUAAUUAUAAAUUGAAUUAAAACUAAAGUAUAUAAAUAUAAUAUAUUAUAUAUUAUAAUACAUUAUUUUUAUUAUAAAAUUAUUAAUUAUACUAUAUUAAUACAUAUUAUUUAUAUUUAAAUAUUAUAAUAAAAUUUAUAAUAAAUUAUAUUUAAGUAUUAUAAUAAAUUCUUUUUAUUAAAUUUAAGUUUAAGUAGAAUUUUUAAAAAAAUCUAUAAAUUUAUUAUAAUAAAUUAUUUUUAUUAAUUGUUCCCACCCCUAUUCUUAUUUUAAAAAUUUAAAAAUUAAAAUUUUAAAUUUUUAAAAUUUAUAAUUUAUAAUCUCAAAAUUAAAGUUUAUAAUUUUAAAUUAUAAAUUAUAAAUUAUAAAUUUUAAUUUUGAUAUUUUAAUUUUGAAAUUUAAAAUUUGAUAUUUUAUAUUUAUUAAAUUUAAAUUUAAUCUUAAAUUUAAAGUUUGAAAUUUAAAAAUUUAAAUUUAAAUAUAAUAAGAGGAUAAUAUGAUUAUUUUUUAUUUAUAAAAGACCACUAUAUUUCUUAUUCUAUCAUACCAAACCAAACGCUAUUUUUUUAAAUUCUAAGAAUAAGCCAAUUUUUAUCCAAACGCAAAAUUGAUCUAAUUCCCGCUUAUACCUCAAUUUAUACCUAUUCCUGAAAUAACCACUUUUUACUUAUUCCCGAACCAAACGAUACCUUAGAGAACAACAGCAAAUAAAAACAAUGUUAGAAUGAUGGACAAUCUCUCUCUAUCCAUCUAUCACUGUAUCUAUCUUUGACGAAUUUGUUACCAUGCAUGAACUUUGGAUAUUACGUAGCUCUGCGAAAUUUUACCAGCAAUAAAUGGGAGCACCUGCAAAAGCCAGGGUUUAUUCUUUCUAUGAAGCGGCUACGUACUAGCGAUGAUAGGAUAAAGGUGAGCUUAAGUUGUGGUUCCGAGGGACACUACAACCUGUAGCUGUGGAGCUCACACUGGGCCUACUUUCAUUUGAACCUUUUUUUUUUUACUUUAUAUAUAUAUAUAUAUAUAUAUAUAUAUAUAUAUAUAGUUGAGCUGAAAUGCUAUCGGUAACAAACGGGCUCCGUUGCCACCCAUUUGUUUUCGAUGAUGGAGCUUUCAAAUCGACGAUCGGCACCGUUGAACAUGAUCUAUAUCACUUGAAGUAUCUAGAAAUCAAAUUUUAAAUCUUUUCGACAUCAUUUACCUAAUGAUCAAACGGUUUCAAAAUUAGUAAUUUUAAUGGUUGAUAUGAGGGGUUUUCUAGUUUAACGGUGUAAAGCUAUCCAAAUCAAUUGAAUUUUGGUUAGAAAAUUCUUUAAACUAUUUAGAACAAGAUCUAUACUUUCGAUCAUGAUUACAAAAUUUCUAUCAUCACUUUUUAGAGGAUAUUCAUUUUCAGCCAUUCAUUUUACGCCCACUUGAUUGACAAGAAAACAGUAUCGGAAAAAUAUGAAAUUUGAUUUCUAAAUACUUCAAGUGGUAUAGAUCAUUUUUAAUAGUGCCGAUCGUCGAUUUGGAGGCUCCAUCAUCGAAAACAAAUGGGUGGCAACGGUGCCCGUUUGCUACCAAUAGUAUUAAUUCCAGCUCAACUCUCUCUCUCUCUCUCUUCUCUCUUCUUCGGUCUCUCUUCAUCUCUCCUCUCCUCUUCUUCUCCUAUAUAAAAUAUACAUAUAUAAUAAUAAUUAUAUAUAUAAUAAUAUAGGUGACGGCUAUCAUGCUUAUCGAAGCACCGGAACCUUCCGCUUACAGUCGCUUUCGAUUCACUUUCAAUCGUCGAUCGCUCCGUUAAACUUGAUCAUAGAUUGAAGUACUAAAAAUAAAUUUUAUAAUUUUAAAGAAUCAUUUGCAGAAACAAGGGCUCAAAAAUCAACAGCUAAAAUCAAAAUCUUACAAAUAUAAUAAAUACAUUAAAAUUUUAAUCAAAGAUAUUGAUCUUGUUUAUAUAGUACUAAAGAUUUUCUAUCAAAAUUCACAUAUUUUGGAUAUGUCUACAAAUCCGUUAAACUUGCAAACGGCUCACUACGGCCAUUGAAAUUUGUUGAUUUUGAACCCAUUCGAUUACUAGGCAAAUGAUAUCGAAAAAUAAUAAAAUUUAUUUUCUAGGUACUCCAAAUACUCUAGAUCAAGUUUAACGGAGCCGAUCGACGAUUCGAAAGUCGCAACAUCAAAAAUGAGCUGGAAGCACGGAAGGCUCCGUGCUUCCGAUAGCAUAGUAGCCUCACUCUAUAUAUAUAUAUAUAUAUAUAUAUAGCUUUACUGUUUAGGGGUGAAAAUUGAGUACGGGUAAUAAUAUAGCAAUUAUGGAACUUGACUUCGAAUUGGUGAUUCUAAGCUCAUAAUUAAAUGUCCAUGUUGAGGUCAACCUCUAUGGAGAUGAAAACUUAAUAGUAAGGAUUGUUUACAGCAGUUGGUUGUUAUCUGGAGCUAAUUUAGAAAUCAGAAAUUUGAAUCUCUACUCGUGCUGUCGUGCAUUUAAAAAGAAAAGGGAUUUUGAACUCUGGCAUUUUAUGUCGUAACAAUUGUUUACAGUAGUUAGUUGCUAUCCCGUGCGUAAUAGAGGCCGAAAAUUCGAAUAUCUCCUCGUGCAAUUCAAAGAAAAAAGGGAUUUUGAGCUCUAGCUUUUUAGAUUCUAGGAGGGUUCUUGAGGUAAUCGAAUAGAUAUUCGGCCCUAUGGAAUAUAAAGAAUUUUGCAAAUUCAUUUCUGUUUAAUCUAGAAAUUGCAAGUAAUUAAGGUUAGAUAUUCGUAUGAGCGGAUUCACCGAUGUUAGAUGUGCUUCGAAAUUGGUUAUUGACUUCAGUUUUGGAACUCCGACUCGUCGACAGUAUCGCGGUGCAACUAAUUUGAAAAAUAAAUUUGUGGAGGAAAAAUAAAUAUCUGUGAGAGGUAGCGGAGGACUCCAGUCGAUAGGAUUGGAUCCGAAACCUGUUAAGAAUUUGUUUCUUCAUUUUGCCCUAGAGGCCACAGGUUGAUUGUACUCUAAACAUUGUAUUCCUUUUUUCGCUCGAUAGUAAAACUCUCCUCCUUCGCCCGUGGUUUUCUAUCUGUAAAGAAUUUUUCACAUAAAUCUGUGUAUUCUUCUAUUUUCUGUUUAUGGUUUGUCUAUUGUGUGUUCGCCAUUUUCGUUUCUUUUUAUGCGUUUGUCAUAACAACGGAUUCCAUUCUCUUGAGAACUUGGCGCAACAUGCCACUCAGCUGCAGUAAAUCUCUGUCCAACAAAAAGCUUUUAAUUCUUUGUAAUAGUUAGAUAUCAUGAAUGGUAUACUCCAAAUCCAUCUCAUUGUGUCAUCGGGAGAUAAUAAAAUGUCUAAUUGAUUAAUUAGUGCAAUGAUAUAUAAUAUAGUAAUUUUAUGUUUAAAAGAAUAACUUUGAAUAAUAGUGUAACUUUUGGUUUUUUUUGCUGUAGAAUUGCUUCCACAGAAAAUUCUGUCCUAUCCAUAUACACGAGACGUUAUUACUUUAACAUUCCACGUGUCAUAAAUGGCAAUUCACAUGCAUAAUAGUAAUAAGGGUAAACUUUAAAUACCACCUCUGUGAUUUCACAUUUUUUCACUUUAGUAUCCUAUGGUUUUAUUGUUAUCUCUUCGUCAGCAUUGUCGUUAAUAUUUUGUUAAAUUAUAUAUAAAAAAAUUCAAAUACUCCUUCUAGAUUUAUCGAAUAUUCAAUUUAGUACCCUUUAGUUUUAACUUUGUCACUGUUUUAACGAAUAAAGUUAGUGAAAUCGAUAAUAAAAAGAUAAAAAUAAAACCACACGACACUAAAUUGAUACACUUUAAACCACAGAGUACUAAAGUAAGAAAGUGUGAAAUCACACGGGAUAGUAUUUGAAGUUUUUUCUUAAUAAUAAUAAUAAGAAUGGGACCCUCGAUUACGCCCACCCUUGUUUAAAUCUAAUAACAAUAAUAAUUGGUUGGAGUUAAAAAGUUUUAUGUUUGGUGGAGAAAAAGAACAAUUAUUUUGAGUGGGAAAGGGGGAUGCUUCUGCAAAAAGCGCUUCUUCUCCACCCACCGACAAGGCGCAGUGAUUUUUGGUGGGGGUUGUGUGGGAGGACGAAGGAGCCCAUGAGGCAUGAGCUCCAUCUCUCUCUCUCUCUCUCUCUCUCUCUCUCUCUCUCUCAUUUCCCUAACAUCACGUGCAUGGCCCGAUUCAAAUUUGGUACGCCUUGUAACGCCCAUGAGAUUUUGUUGAAACAAUUUGAUAAGCCGCGCGUAUGAUUCGCUUCUGUAUAUAUAUAAUACGAGAUUCUGAUCAUCUGAUAGUUUAACCUUUUAUAUUGGGCUCAAUUUCAUUUAACAUGAGAAGUUCGAUUCACACUCCACUUGUGAUUAAAUUUUAUUGAAUCAUCAACUAAGGCUUAGUUUGGUAUUGAGAUCUAUCUAACGCUAUUUGCUAAAUUGGAGUUGUGGAAAAAGCUUAUAGAGAUAUGCUUCUGCGUUUUCCGGUGGGACCGCAUAAAAUAUAGUGUAACCGACUCAUCGCGAUAUGUAGAACGCAAUAUUACGUACGAAAAUAAAGAGAAUAUUUUUUCAGCGUACUUUCUUACCGCACGUAACGCAAUCUUCCUACAAUUCCAAACGAAGCCUAAUUUGUCUAAGAGUUUCGCUUUUCCCGUGACAACUCAAGCUAAGCUUUUGGAUUGAUUCGAGUCAUUAUACAUAAACAACCGAGCAGUUCAGUGGUCGGGUGUUCGAAUUUCGACUAAAACUUAAAUGUAUAUGUCUUAACUUACACGAUGGUUACACAACUUUAAUAUGUAUGUAACAAUUUUUUUAUUUUAAAAAGUGUUCGUCCUUAAAACGAACCGCUCACAAGAAGGGUGGACCAUUGUGUACCUAAUUGAGUCGGGUUUUGACCGAUCGGAUCGGGUAGCAAAAUCCAAAACCACAUUCCAUGGUCAAACAACUAGUCAACGGUUUGAGUACAAAAAAAUUCAAUAUUUUCCUGCUUCAUCUGAGCAAUAAAUAUGCCAGAAAAAGACAGAGACAUAUCCUACCAAAUUUUCAAGUUUAAAAAAAAAAAAAAUCGUUGCACUGUUGGUCCGAAUCUUUUUCGAGCAAUUCUUUUUUUUUUUUAUCUUCAAUUUAUAAUAUUUUUUUUUAAAAAAAAUGUUAACUUUUACUACUGAUUUUGAUCUCAUGGUAGAAAGUUUUAUUAUUUUUACUAAAAACUAUCACCUAGGUCUUAAAUCUUACCACUCGAUAAUUCAUGUAUGAUUUAUCGAAAUUUCUAACGACAAGAAUAACGGCAAAAAUCAAAGAUUAUAUUGUUAUAAUAAUAAUUAGAAUUAAAGCUUAGAAUCAAAUUGAAAAUUCAGAUAAAAAUUGAGGACUAGUGAUAUAAUUGCAUUCCAACAGAACCACAUUUUCAACUAUAGAGUAAUCAAAAUUAAGGUAUAAACUUUCAAAUAAAAUUUCUAAUAUUUCAAAGGUUUAUAUAUAUAUNUAUAUAAAAAUAAUAAACUGAAAAUCGUUUUUUUUUUUUUAUUUCGGCUCGAGUUAAUAUUUUUCUGAGUAAAUAUAUAUUUAAAAAUUUAUAAGCUAGUUUCAGAUUAUCCAUUCUAAAAUAUUUAAAUAAAAAAUAUAUAUAGGUUAGAUUAAGUAAAGCGAAUAACAUGCAACAAGUCGAACACAAGCCGAGCAAACAAUUUCUCGGUUUGUGUUCAACUUAAAAAGCCGAGUUAUAAAAUAGGUCGAUUGAGCACAAGCCGAGCAAAUAAUUUACUCGGCUUGUGUUCGGCCGGGAUUGAGCGAGCACAAUCCGAGCAACUGUGGGGAUGCGCACUCCUCGAAUUAAAUGGUUUUCCUAAUAAAACGCACCACAGUCCGUCGUCGGCACCCACGUUGGCGUACCGGUUAGUGAGUGAAUAUUUGCUCAGUUAACACUCCAGUGAAAAGAUCGAGCUUUUUAUUUGUUUCAAUUUGUGUUCGAGUGAGAUCGAACAAGCAAAAACUGCUACAUCGAGUUUUUAUAGUAAAUCAUAUCAUAAUAAAAAUCUCACUAUACAUCGUUUAAAUUUAUAAAAAAAAUCAAAAUUAAAAAAAGCAAUCGUACCGAAAAUUUGAAAUUAUCAUUAAUUAUUAUGAUGUUCGUUUUCAUUCGAGUUAUUACUGUUAUUAUUAUUAAUAUCAAUCAUAAUUAUACUGUGGGAUUGAAAAAUUCCCCAGUGGGUAACAUCUUGAUGAAAGCAGGAUCGUGCAAAUUGAGAGAAUUGAAGAACUCGGAUUGAUGAUGACUUUUAUAAAUUCAGUCAAAUUUUUAAAUCGGUAUAAUAUAAAAUAUAUAUCCUAAUAAAUCCCAGAGUGUUAGAGGGAAGGAAAUUUAGAACUGCAAGAGCAGUCCGAGUUUGAAUGUUCAUAGUCCACUAUAUUCUGAGCAAAUUUAAAGCUCCCCUUGAGCUCGGCCGAGACUCAAUGAAGACUCGGUUAGAGCUCGAUGGGGUCGAACGAGUAUAUAUAAACCGAGUAGUUGUUAGAAGGUCGUCAUCGUUAUCGUCUUUGAAAUACAACCUGGAAUACGAAAACCCUAAACUUUCGAACAAACUCGAAUGAAUGGUAUCGUUUUGGAGGCAAACGAUUUACGGAUCGAUGGCAAAACGCAUCAUCUCUUCGACAAACUCUUCGGUUCGGUUUGUCAUUUAGGGAUGUAAGAUUAACCUCUUAAUGACGAUGACAAAAGGUACUAAAUUGGACCCGUAAUAAAAGAAAAGUUUUCUUAACUUGUAACCCAUUUUUUCGAAAGGAAAAGAGAUGAUUCUACAGGAUUAAUCAUGGAGAGUAAACCAUGUAUAACCACUUCAGUUUUGAGAACUCGAUGAACAAUAAAAGACAUGAAGGUCGAAAUUCUGUUGGUUAGUACUCACACAAACAAGAAAGAGUUGAGUCCACUGGUUAGUAUACCAACCACCUCUCCCUCCUUAGUAUUUCGGACGAGAACCACUCUCAACCUUCUUGUAAGGGGUACAUGCGGAACACCAGAGGGCACUAGUUCUCUCGUUACAAACAUGUCGUUGACAUGAUUUUGUGUGUUACUCCCAUCGCAUGAUAUAAGUACAAAGUCUUAAAUGAACAUUGUGUCUAUAUUUAAAAUCGGUUUACUUCUUGGUUAGUAUCCUAAAAUUUGUACGACUAUAACGUGAAUAUAUUACAGGGAUAUCGUCGUACAAAAACUAAAGCUUAUAACGUUGAGUCCCCUUUUUUGUGGGGGCUUUGACACGAGCAUAAAAGAAACGUCUGUUAAACGGUACACAGUCUCUGAGCCUCAAACGUUCCUGUUUUCAUGUGUUACAACUGAUUAGAAAUCAAAUUGAAUUCCUCGUAACCUUCUAAUCUUCAAUGCUUACAAAGGAAAGAGCUAGUAAAUCCCUAGUAGAAAUAAGAUAAUUGUUCAGUGAAUUGUUAAUAGGUAGUAGUUGAUGCUAAAACCUACGGUGUUGUUAAUAACUAGUAGUUGAUGCUAAAACCUACAGUAUUCUUGAUAGUUAGUAGUUGAUGCUAAAACCUAGUAAAUCCCUAGUCGACAUAAAGUAAUUGUUCAUAGUAUUGUUAAACACCAACAAUACGGGAUAGAUUUAUAUAAUCCGCGGUUAAAAACCUGUAAUCAAGUGAAAUAUGAACAGUAGAGAAAAAACAUAAAACAUUAUAUGAGACAGAUCGGGCUGAGGAGUAGAAGACCAUUUUACAGACGUUCUAAUAGAAGUCCUAUAAGGACACUACUCAACACGUCGAAGGAAAACCUUGAAAAGAAGGAACGACUGAUAAACGCGUUUACAUGUUCGAUCUGCUAGCCAUAUGAUGAAUAAGUGUAAAAUCGAGAUAAGACACCAGUCUUAAUGAAUAGAAUAGAUCUGGUUUAAGUGGCUCAUAUACCGAAUCUAGUUGAGGCAAAGAUCCCGAAGAAGGCAUAGUCUACGAAGGUUAGAGAACAUUAGGGCAACGAAUAAAGUUCACGUACGUGAUCUGGAACAUCUUUAUCUAUUGUUUUAACAUUGUGUGACUUCGUAGUUCAACAAUGAGCAGAAAAAGAGCUCAUAAGGAAAGAAGAUUACGAGAGUGAGACGAAAAGAUAAAUAAAAAUAUAAGAGUCCGAAGACCAGCGUGGCGUUUUAAACACUAGGUGUUGACUUGUCUCCGUUCGUGAAGAGGCCUAUCCCACUCCUUCUGUUCCACCGUCCUUCCACGACGAUAGGAGUCGAAGACUACUCCUCGUGCUUUAUAGAGUACGCCGUGAGGGAUCGACUAAUAAGAAAAGGAAAACAAACUUACGAUUGACAAAAACGAAGAGAUCGAAAACAAAAAACGUGUUUAACCCCCCCCGGUAUUUCGACCGCUCGAUCAUAGCAAAGUACUUGCUGCAUGCGUUCUUAGUGACGAUACCUGUUUCUCCUUAGGAAAUGAGCAGGAAGCUUGCAGGCAAUAACGUAUACCAGAACACUUGACACUCCUUUUGUAGGUCCUCUCAUAUAUUUCUAAUUUGUCGAAUAAAACAUAACUCUAAUGGGAACACAACUCCUUGGAAAACGAAACAGAAGCUCCUCCCAGCCUUAGAAAACACAAACCUGUAAAAAAAACAAGGACACACUACUCCAUCGGUUAUUAAAUGGGAGACUUACUAUCGUCGGGUUAUCCUUGGACGGUACAGUCUGUCUCUCUCAACAACCUACUAUACCAUACCUACAAUGUAGAUACUCACAGAUCUGGAAAAGUACUACCAGUGACUAACUAGGCUCGCACUUUAGGACGGUGAGGCUGGCAGGUAAAAAGCUACCAACGCUAGCGAACGCGUUCUCGAAACCUACCGGACUACACCUAACGGAACAGGAAACAUAAAACGAUCAUGCUAAGAUUUGUGUUCCUUGUACAAAAGCCACCAGGUCCCCUUGCAGCUAUUACUUGACACAUGACCCGCCGUUAAUGUUUGUCUAAUUCUUAUGAAAACAUCAAAAGUUUUGAAUCUGAUACUUUUAUUAUCGUGUAUGUCGAAUUAACAGGAAAUAUCGUACUAUUUUAAACUAACUAAACAGCAUCGAGAGGGAGGAUGUGUAUGACCAAUGCUCCUACAUAUCAUCACACGUGUAACCGGCCAAGUCGUUCCAGCGUCGCCUAGAAGCAUUUUAUUUGGAUUGGUGUCAUAUGCAUACGUGAAACAUUUGGGUUUAACUUCGUAAAGCCAAGACAAACCAACCAAAUAAGUCGAAACCUACAUUUUGAGUUAAAGCACACCAUAUAUGUAGUUUCAUUUAUACUGCCUAGAUGCUUGUGGUGAGUUGGUUAGUUUGACAGUGUCACGCCAAUGAAGACGAGUAAGUCAGCAGCUGAGCAUCUUAACUUACUUCAACGAUCGUUUUCACUCAACUUGGCUGUGUUUACUCAGCCGAGGCAAACCAUGUAGUCAAAAAAAACCAUGUAAACAAGCCAGGUUGUCAUUUGAUGCACAGCAGCGUCGUCGGCUCAGACGUAUUGGUCGUGUUGUUCUUUGAAUUACCGCUAAUUCUUUCCAAUAGGAGAGGAUUGUGCUCAGAUAAUUGGGAUUACCCUGUGAAUUGGAUGACGCCACUACCUAGAACGGUGAGGACACCUAGUUUAACCUUCUGUGAUAGCAGAACCUCCCCGGUCAGAUAAGAGUUAGGAUAGUAACAAAAGUUAGGACUCCUCUUAUUGAAGGCUUAAACGUUUUUCUUAUUGUAAGGUGAUUUCUACUACCCUCUUUCUAACCUUCCAUCCUGACAAAUAUUUUAUCACCCCGUUCAGACGUUGUAGAACAGUUUACUACUUAACAGUUUUCAUGAUGAAAAUAACGAUUAUAACAACUUGGAGGAACCACUAACUAACACGAUGAGUACACCUAGUUUAUACUUCUAUAGUAACGGAACCUCACCCACCAGAUGCGAGUUAGAAUAGUCGUAGCAGUUAGGGACGUUGACUUUCUUUUUAUUGAGGACUUAAAGUUUUUUCUUACUGUAAGUUGACAUCCACUACCCUCUUUCUAACCUGCCGUCUUGCCAAGUGUUUUACCACCCCGUUAAGACGUUAUAAAGACGUUGUAGGACAGUUUACUACUCAAAAGUAUUCAUGAUUAAAGUGGCGAUUAUAACAACUUGGAGGGUCACUAACUAACACGAUGAGGGCGCUUAGUUUCGCCUUCUGUAAUAACGGAACCUCACCCACCAGAUGCGAAUUAGAAUAGUCAUAACAGUUAGAGUCGUUGACUUUCUUUUUAUUGAGGGUUUAAAGUUUUUUCUUACUGUAAGUUGACAUCCACUAACCUCUUUCUAACCUACUAUCUUACUAAGUGUUUUACCACCCCGUUAAGACGUUGUAAAACAGGUUACCAUCUAAAAGUUAUCAUUAUAAAAACAGCGAUUUUAACUACAAGAAUAUUUGACUUUUAACAAUUGUAUUUACUAUAUUUAUCAAAGAUCAAUUGAGUAGUAAAUAGAGCCAAUUCUAUUAUGAUAGAGUAUACACCCCAUAUAUUAUUAUCGAAUGCGCUCCCGUUACAACCUCUUGGGUUUCGUAAAGAUGCGCAGGUUGAUUACCACCUUAGUGCCUUCUUUUGGUAAAAAGGUUUUUUUUUCUUUUCUUUUCUUUUUCAAAAGUAUUUUUCGUAACGAAAUAUUAAAAUAAAAGAUUAUUUUUAAAUUUUUUAUUUUUUAUGAAAAAUAUUUUAAAUUUAAACAAAUCUUUUAUAAUAGAAAGUUUCAAUUUGUCCACUUUUUAUAAAGAAGCCAUUUAUUUUAUCAAGACUUUAUAAUCUUCCUCUUGCUUUGUGGUAAUUCUAUAAAUAGAAACUUACGUUGUUAAUUACGAGAACGAGAAGAUAUCCAAAAUUGAUCCAUAAUGUAUAUGAUUGUGUCUUAUGCCCUAUUCUUAUUCUAUGCUGUACUUAUGCCACGGAGCCGUUGAAACUGUGCCGUACCUGUGGCGAUUAUUUUAUAUUAUAAUAAUUGUAUUAUUAUAUAUAAAUAAUAUAUUUUUAUAAUUAAAACCAUUUUAUAACAAUAUAAAGAAUAUACUUACUUUCAAUCAUUUUAAAAAUGACUAUUAAGUAUCUAAAAUUCUUUUUUUUUAAGCCGUGGUAUGUAUUAAAUAAAUAUACCGGUUAAACGUAUUUUUUAGGUUAUCAAAAGUCGAAAACGUUUUCACCCGGCGGAUAAACUAAAACGUCUAAUUCCGGCCUAAAAGUUUUUUGACCAGUUCUAUUGGAAUAAGGGGAAAGAGGAAAGAGAAAAAAAAAAAAAAAAAAAAAUAUUACAUAUAUAAUUAUUUAUAUUAAAUAAAUUAUAUAAAUAUAAAAUAUAUGUAUUUGAACUGUUAUCGAGCCGAACACGAACGAGCGAAUCCCAGCUCGUGUUCGACUCGUUUAUUAAACGAGUUGAAAAAUUCAGCUCAUGUUCAGUUCGUUUACUAAACGAGCGAUUCGAUCUCGAGCUCAUUUCGAGCCGAACACGAACUGGCUCGCAAACAGCGAGCUAGAUUGCCACCCCUACUCACGCCGAACUGUUUUAAAAAGUAUUGUGAUGCGAUCCAGUACUUGUGCCUCACCGCGGAGGCCAAUAGGCCCUUAAAAGGACGGGACGCACGAGUUCAAGCCAGUUUCGAAUUGUAGACGAGCUGACUCACGAACAACGAGCUAGAUUGGCAGCCCUAGACAUUAAGGUCGCGACCGAACCAAAAGCGGCUUUUGAGGACGCCACAUGAGGCAGCCUCCAACGGAGGCCACAUGGCCCCGGCCCACCACUCACUAGUACUAAACAAAUUUUAUGUCUCGUCCAGGAGCGCUUCUGCUUCAACCAUGGGCCAUGGGGCCAUCGCUUUCGCCAAACCUUUCUCGCUCGUUUGUUUCUUCUUUGAGCACUCGUUAACUUUUUUUUCUUUUUUUGUUUGUUUUUACCGACCAAUUAGGCACACGAUACCUGGAAAAUGCCUAGACACAGGCAUUACUGUGCGUUCAUAAAAUGUAGAAUUGAUCGCAAUCAUUGAUAAAAGACGAGAUCCAGUAGUUAAGAUUAAUCUCAUCUUUUAUGGUCAGCAAAAUUACACCGUGGGAAGUAACUUUAAUUCUGCGUACAUGUACGUAGUUGCCGGAGUAGUCGAAAGUCGUGUAUAUAUUUUGUUCACGACCGCGGGCGCAAGAAAUAUUAAUUUUAAUCUUUGCAGAAAUGAAAAUUCAACAAAUUAUAACUUCUAAUCAUAAGAAUUAGGGCAUGCGUAAACCCUUAUUAAAUUUUAUUUUAAUAUUGAUUUUAAAAUAAGUUGAACAUAUAUGUGUGCCCUCCUCGUUGCAGUGCACUUCUCCUUUUUCUUUUAAAAAGAAAAACACAGUUUAGAGAAUUUUUGUAAACAAAUAAGUUUGUGGACUCCAUUCUAAGAACCCUUCUAACAUUCACAGAUUUUUUUUUUUUUUUUUUUCGUUUUGAAAGGCGGGAGCUCAAACGCUGCUAUUUCAGAAAUUCGCUAAGGGGAUGUUUGGUUUGCUGUAAAAGUACUCUGAAAAUUAAUUUUCAGUUGAAAAAUAUUUUUCUGAUGUUUGGAUUUCUGUAAAAAAAUUUUCUCGGAAAGCUCCUUUUACAAAUACGCUGAAAAUUUGGGGUUUUCGUUUUCCGCUCUGCAAGAGCGGAAAACGAAAAGCUACAGUAAAAAAUAGCGGGGUUCAUAGGAUGUUUUGCGCGGGGUCCACAACGUGAGCUUCACCCGGUGGACCGCCGCCUGAGUGAGAGAGUGAGAGAGAGAGAGAGAGAGCUCCCUCUAUGACUUUAUAUAUAUAUAUAUAUAUAUAUAUAUAUAUAUAUAUAGAGCAGGACUGCUGUGCUCUCAGGAGCACGGAGGCCUCCGUGCUCCUGAGCCGUUUUCAUUGAUGGAAUUUCCGAAUCGACGAUCGGCUCCGUUAAACUUGAUCUUGCGUAUUUGAAGUUUUUAGAAAAUAAUUUUUGCGAUUUUUUUAUAUCAUUUACCUAGCAAUCAAAAGAAUUCAAAAUCAAUAAUUUUUAACGGCUAAAAAUAAAAAUUCUAUAAAAAGUGGUGAUAUAACACUAAAAUUUUCGAUCAGAAAUAUUGAUCUUGUUGUAGAUAGUAUAAAGAAUUUUGUAUUAAAAUUUCAUCUGAUUUGAAUACUUUUAUACCGUUAAACUUGAAAACGGUAGAUAUCAACCAUUAAAAAUUAUUAAUUUUGAACGCUUCCGAUCACUAGGUAAAUGAUAUCAAACAAUCGCAAAAAUUAUUUUCUAGAAACUUCAAAUACGCUAGAUCAAGUCUAACGGAACCGAUCGUCGAUUUGAAAAUUCCAUCAUUGAAAACGGCUCAGGAGCACGGAGGCCUCCGUGCUCCUGAGAGCACAGCAGUCCUGCUAUAUAUAAUCUUGCCUAAAUAUUAAAUAGUUGGACAAACUAAUGAUAUAAAAAGGCUAAUUUAUCACUAUAACAAAAAACUAUCUAUUUGAUAUUUAUGAUUUUUGUAUAUGUAUGUAAAUAUUAAAUGUUGUAGUUCAUAUUUUUAUGGACUCAAAAUUAAAGGGCCAGUGAACAAUGUACCAAAUUAAGUCAAUAAUUUCUCCAUUUAUAGUGUACAAAUUUGUCCCUUCCAUUUGUUGGAUGUAGUAUGAACUUUCUAAAUUUUCUAUAUGCAAAAAUAAUAAUUAAUAAGAAAUUUGUUAUCUAGACAUUUUAUAGUCUUAGAAAAGUGACAUCUCCUUCCAAGUUACUUUCAGUGAUGGGACCGAAUCAAUAUCAACACCGUUAAAUAUUAUCUAUAUAAUAGAUGGCUGAUAUAAAGUCUAUUUGAGAUAGUUUGAUUAGUAAAAUCAUUAAAUUUGGCUUUUAUGAAAUUCAAACAGUUUUUAUCAUAUUUAAUUAAUAAUAUUGUUUAUUGAUUCGGAUGCGUUAUUAUAAAAAAUGGCCUGAAAGUGAGACACAUAUGUAAUCUUAGCCUUAGUCCAAACUCCAAAAUGUUUACAUUUAAAGUUUUUAAGGUGUUCACAUCUAACACUUUUUUAUGUUAUAGUUUUUUUUUAAAAAAAAAAUUAUUGUUGAGUUUAGAAGGCACGGUCCACGGUACACCACGGUUCACGCACCAAUGCCUAUAUAUGCUUAAAAUUGUCCAAUAGAUAAACAUGCUUGGACCAUACGGGUGGUUCAGCGAGCGCCGUACACCGAUCCCACGCGUUCCCCGAGGAGCGAAAAUGUAGUGGGGGACCACAAAAUCUGACGUGUGGGGCCCGCUGGGAUCUGGACCGUCCAAUCGCUGCUCGUGGCGAGCACAAGUUAUUCGCUUCUCUUUUGACGAGCCAAAAAUGCCGGGUCUUAUCCACUCGUACCGCGGCAAAGAAUUUGAUGGUUGAUAUUCAAGAUCACAAAUUCAUAUUGAUUUAUAUUUUCAGCUAAGCUUAUUUCUAAAUAAAAAAAAGCUCAAUUGGAUUCUACAGCGGAUCCGUCAAGUGCCCAAAAGUAGAAAAUUAUGGAGUAGCCAUUAAAGGAAAGGGGUAAUGGGGAUUGUGGCCCAUAAAUGAUUGACUCUGACAAGUGAGGGAGUUUGAGAAUGUAAAUAGGACGGAUCCGGAUGCAGAAGGACUCUCCCACCUCUCACCCCAUAUUUUUUUAUGGGUCGGGGAGAAUUCAAUGCGGAUCGGGUUUUAUCAAUUGUUCCCUUCAUUUACCGCUUCAUUCACUUGGGUCAGAGCGCGGUGCGGUUUUGUGCAGGAUAUUUGGCGAGAUGGAUCAAGAGAAGGGAGGUGUCUAGGGUCCCCUACCUUCAACACUAUUUUCUUAGCAGAUUAUGAUAAUUUUGAGACAGAUUUCUUUUUCUUAUUCGGAGCAAAUAUUUGGGGAGCUCAUCCAACCUCAAUCUGUUUGUGUUUCUAGACAUUUGUCGGUAUUUUUCUUCUUUAUUUCUUCCAUAAAAAUAAGAUAAAAAUGUAUGAGAUACCCCUCAGCAGUAGGCCAUUCCGAACGAUAUCUCUCAACUAUAUUUUCUCAAAUUGAGACCCCCACAACUUUUAAGUUUUGAAAUCAGGCGAUUUUAGCCAAACAAGUUAGAGAUUUUAUGAAAUUAGUUGAUAAUCUCGUCAAAUUUAAUAGUUUAAACUACUCUAUGUCAAAUUAUUCGGGAUUAAUUAACCUAUAAUAGUUAAUUGGGCCAUGAAAGUUAACAAAUUUUUUAAUUUAUAAUUAACCGAACUAUUGGGCCCGGACUCAGCUUGAGUGCGCGUCCUGUUGGUGGACCCAAGAAAAUUGUAGGCUGGGCCGGAUCGGAGAAUGCCUGAUGGAUUCGUUGCCACUCAAAUCAAAUGGAGCCCAAUUCAAAUUUAAGGGCCUGUUUGGUAACUAUUAAAAAUUUUAUAUAACAUUUUUUUAAAAUUUUUUUUUGGAAUUGAUACGUUAUAAUACUACAAUACUCGAUUUCAAAAUAUUACAUUUAUAUACUAUUUGGAGUGGCACUAUAUUACUCCCUUUUAUCAACUUGCCACUUUUUUUUUUUUUAAAAAAAAAAGCUAAGCUAGGAUCUCCUUUUUAUUUUAUAGCAAAAAUACUCCUUUUCGGACUAUAAAUUAUAAACGAUUCUUGGUUGCUCAUCGUGCUUAGUGCAAUUGGUAAAACAUCGAUCACCCGUAUACGAGAUUUCAAAUUCAAAGCUUAAUUACUUUAUAUUUCUAAUUAAGUUUAUCUCUAAAGAAAAAAUUGAACAAGGCAGGUAGUUUGCUAUAUUUCUCUUAAUUUUUGUUUUUUUUUUCUAGUAUGAAGUCAAGAAUUUGUUGAAAAUUUGACUCACUAUGUGUCACGGAUACAGAUACGGAAUACGGGACACGACACGAUUCGAACACGGCGAUUCGACAAAAUUCAAAAUACAAGGACACGAACACGGCAAAGACACGACUAAUAAAAUAUAAUAUUUUUAGUAUAACAAUACAUAUUUAUUAUAUAUAAUAUAUUAAUUUUGCAACAUAACCCAUAAAGAUUUAUGCUCAUUAUUUGAUGUCAUAAUCCUACAACAUUGAGAAAAAAAAAUAUGUACACAUUAAAGGAAUAAUAGUUAAUCUUAAUUAUAACACGUAAAAGAAAAUUAAAAUAAAGAUAAACUAUAACCCUAAUUAAAAAUAAUUUUAAUGUAAAAGUAAUUUGUAAUUCAAAAAAAGUAUAAUAAUGAUACAAUAAAAAAAGAUAGAGAAAGAGAAUACCUUUAAAUGUUCGCGGCUUUGUUGAAGAAAAAUCCAGUAGAGAUCAAAGAUGAGAUAAAUAAUAUUUUUAUUAGAAGUAUAACUAUAUAAAUUCUUUUAAUUAUAUAUUUUUUAAAAAUUAUACGAUCCUUUUCUUUUGAACUAUAUAUUUUUAUUAAUUUAAUAAUAACGUGGCAACGUAACUAAUUAAGUUUCGAAAAUAGUGCGGCUUUCGAAAUAUAUGACACGGUAUGGACGCGCAUCCCCCGACGUGCGGAGUGAAGAAACACAUCCGUGACGCGUAGCCCACUAACAUGUAGUCCUGGACUCUCCUGAGAAUUAUAUAAAUAUUAAGUUACGUGCGCUGAAAAAAAUAUUAUUAAAAAUAUUUAUUUUUUUUAAUAAAUAGUAUUAUGGUAAAUACACCAUAAUCAGUCAAUCAAAAAGAAAAAGUCAUUUUUCCCUUGAGAUUCUAAAUUAUCCUGUCUUUUUUUCCUUCUAAUAGUCCAACAUUUUAUGAAGUCCUUAAUGUGAAUAUCCUACCAUUAAUAGAUCAACACUCACCAACCUAAUACAUACAAUUGUGAUGAAAUUAAAGCAGAGAUUAAUAAUUUCCUGUAACAUAUUUAAACCUUAUUAUAUUUGAUUUAGGGUAGGAAAAAGAAAUAAUAUGGCAUGCAAUUUUGGAAACCAUUUCCUAUUUCCAUUGCUUAUAUUCUUUUUUAAUAGUUUGUCUAUGCGUAAAUGGAAAAGCAUUAUGAGUAAAAUUUUGAUUUUACUAUUCAACCAUUCAAUUUGUUUGAUUUGAAUCGGUCAAUAACACUUUGACUAGAAAAUUUAAACUAAUUGUUUGCUUUAAUGAAUUUAUAGUUGCGAGAAUUGCACGAAAUAUACUAACUACAUUUAUAAAAAUGAACAAUGUAUUUAAAUUUUAAAGCGAAAGUAUUAUUGACCGGCUCAAAUCAAACAAAUUAAAAAAUUAGUUCGUAAAAUCAAAAUUUUGAAAUGUUCGUGUAGUUGAAAGAAAGUGGCUUAUAGUUAGAUAAGUUUCGUAUAUUUUUACUAAUACUAUAUUCUGUACUCUUAUCAUUUAUAUAUAGAAACUAAUUACUAGUAGUGUCAUUAUAUUUUGGAAAAAUUUUAAAUACCACCGAUGUUGUUUCGUACUUUCUCACUUUGAUACCAUGUCGUUUAAAGUGUAUUGAUUUAGUAUCCCGUGGUUUCAUUUUUUUUUAUUAUCCCUUAAUUCUACUAUUUUUUUUUUGUUAAAUCAAUAACAAAGUUAAAACUGAAAGGUAUUAAAGUGAAUAUUCGAUAAACCUAGAUAGAUAGGAUAUCUAAAGUUUUUUUGUAUAUAAUUUAACAAAAUGUUAACAAAGGAGUUGACGGAAAAAGAAAAAUGAAAUCACAGUAUAUUAAAUUGAUACAUUUUAAACCAGAUAGUACUAAAGUCAGAAAAUACAAAACUAUAGGAAUGGUAUUUAAAGUUUAGGGUAGAAAGAAGAAAUAAUAUGGCAACUUUUGAAACCAUUUCCAAUUUCCAUUGCUUAUAUUCUUCUUUAAUAGUUUGUCUAUGCAUAAAUGGAAAACAAUUAUGAGUAAAAGCAAACGAAACGUAUCUAAAUUAUAUAUCAUUUUGAAUUCAUUAUUCAACCUUUUUUAAAGUAUUUUGGCUGAAAAAUUAUUAUUCGUCCAUUUAAUUUUUUUUAAAAAAAACUUACUUUUAUAAAAAAAUCUGACUAGAUUUUAUAAAAAAAAAUAUUAUUGUUAUUUUACAAAUUUUUAUCUGAAAAAUAAAAGUUAUAAUACAAAUAUGAAAAAAUUUCAAAUAUCACCUCUGUGGUUUCACAGUUUCUCACUUUAGUAUCAUGUGAUUUAAUUUUUAUCUGAAAAAAAAAAGUUAUAAUGCAAAUAUGAAAAAACUUCAAAUAUCACCUCUAUGGUUUCACACUUUCUCACUUUAGUACAAUGUGAUUUAAAGUGUAUCAAUUUAGUACAAUGUGAUUUUAUUUUUCUCUUUUUAUUAUCGAUUUCACUAAUUUUUUUCGUUAAAUCAGUGACAAAGUUAAAACUAAAAGGUACUAAAGUGAAUAUUCGAUAAACCUAUGUAGGGUAUCUGUAGUUUUUUGUAUAUAAUUUAAUGAAAUAUUAACGAAAAAGUUGACAAAAAAAUAAAAAUGAAACUACGAGACACUAACUUAAUACACUUUAAUUUAUAGAGUACUAACUACGGGGAUGAUAUUUGAAGUUUAUCCUACACAUAUUUUUCAUAUUUGCGUUUGGAUGGGGAUAAGGAGAGGGAUAGCCCCUUAUGGCCCACUUUAUACCCAAAUGCAAAUUUUUUAUCCGAGAAUAGUAAUUCUUGGGUAUUUGAAAUAAGCUGAUAUAAUUCUUUUCACAAAUACCUCCAUUUUCUAUAUAUAACUACCUACUAUUUUUUUUAUUAUAUAUUAUCUAUUCAAACGUUAUUUUUCUUAUCUCCGGAAACAACUCAAUUUUCAUUCAAAUACUAUUUUUUUUAUCUUCAUAUUUAUAACUAUUUCUCUAAUAGCUAGUUAUUGUUUAUACCCGAACCAAACAACCCCUUAACUACCGUUUGGUUCGGGGUUAAGGAAAAACUAGUUAUUCCAGGGAUAAAGUUAAGUUCAGGGUUAAAGUGGAGUUAAAGUAUUUUUGUAUUUGGUUGGGGAUUGAAGUUAGUCCAGGGUAGUGAAAAAUAGUGUUUGGUUGGAGUAGGUGGGAUAAGAAAGAUAGUGGGUUAUUAUGAAUAGAAAAUAGUAUUUGGUUUGGGUUUGGUGGGGUUAGAUGGGGUUAGCUAAUCCGGAAUAAUUCAUUUGAGGUGGGGUUAGCAGUGGGGUUAGCUAACCCUACCUAUUUUCAGAAGUGUUUGAAAAUAAUAUGGGGGUUAAAGAGUGGAUGGGUUAUUC
rnacentral:lncRNA from 1 species